rnacentral:lncRNA from 1 species
CACACUAAGGGAGAUGUUGAGAUCAAGGAGGAGCAUGUUAAGGUUGGCAAAGAGAAGGCCUCCCACCUCUUCAAGCUGAUUGAGAACUACCUCUUGGAGCACCAGGAUGCCUACAACUAAACAUUAUCUGCUGCUACAUUCAUGUGUUAUUUAGUCUCGUGUCAUCUUUGCCAUCAAAUAUUGUUGUGGUUUUAAUCCGUUUUAUAUAUCUUUUUCCCUUCCAAAACAGAGUUUGGCUUGUACGUAAUUGAAGGUUUUGAUUGAAGAUUGAAUAGCGGAUCUGAUUAUUCAUGCAUGUUGUUGUUGUUCUUGUUUUUUUUUUUUUUUUUUUUUUUUUAAUGCAAAAUUGUAGUUACUAAUGUUAAGUUCCAUUUUCCUAACUGCUUUAGUUUACUUAACACAUGAGAAGCGACAUUUCAAUUACCAGCAAAUCAUAAUAAUUGAAUAACAUUUGAAUCUCUACCACAUAAUAGCAUAAAGUGAUGAAAUGAAAACUCUGAUUUCGUUUUCCUUGUAAACCAUUUGGUAAUUCAUACCAUAAAUACGCCCAUGAGUUAAACAUACCCAUGAUGAUGAUUUAAGAGCUUGCCUCAUCUGUCAUGACUCAUCUUCAUCCGCGGCUCUUGCUUCUUGCACACGAAUUUUCUUAGCUAAUCUUAUUUUCGAUUUUUAAAUUAAUGUACAUCACGCCAUACAUGUUAGGUCUGCUAUCCUAACGUGUGAUUUUAUUUUUAUAUUUCACCUAUUUCUUUUGGCGUUUCAAAGCUUGUUUUGCAGGUUUAUACCUUUUUGGGGGGUUAGGCCCUAUAUCACUUCCCUCUUUUUCUUGUAUUUCUAGUUUUGUUUUCAAGAAGAAUCAUGUUUAUGUUCCCCCCUCUCGUUUUGCUACUUUUCUGCUUAAAAUGACCCGUGACUUUGUAAAUAAGCAAACUUACCAAACACAAAUUUUACUCGAACGAUUUUUAUCCAUGCUUUUAAAAUAAUUUAAGUAGUACCAAACCUUACCUUAAUUGUUUUUUAUUGACAAAUGAUAUUAUCUACAGUAAGGAGUUAAGAGAUCGAGCUAAGCCUCACAUUGAGCUAGUAAUAAUGUGCUUCAAAUUUAUCUUUGGUGAGAAUCGAACCUAAGAGAUCUCACUUACAAGUGAAGAGAAAUACCACUAGCUAGACAAUCAUACUAAGUGCCAUUUAUUUUAGGGGUUCAAACAUAUAAAAAAAAGAAGAAAAGCAUUAGGUUUUUCAAAUCAUAACUAAUGUCUGAGGCCAAACGAAUCAAUAAUGUAAAAAUAUCGGACCUAAUGAACUAAAACAUAAAAAUUACAUACGCACCAAAUUGACUGUAGCGAAUCUACUGAACCUAAUGAACUAAAACAUGAAAAAUACAAACUAUACCAAAUAUACUAGAUCUAAUGAACUAAAACAUAAAAAAUAUGAACCAUACCAAAUUGAUCGUACCGAAUUUACCAGACCUAAUGAACUAAAACAUAAAACAUAUGAGCCGUACCAAAUUGGUCGUACCGAAUUUAUGGGACCUAAACUAUAUAACGAACCAAAUUGAAGUCACAACAUAAUAGACCCUACAAAACUUCGGACCUAAACUAGUACAACGUACCUAAUUGUUAUUUACAAAAUAUAACCAAACGUACCUGAUCAACCAACAGAACCAAACAAUGAAAUUCCCCACAUAGGCCUUUCAAUAAACCCAUGGUAUGCAUUGUAAGGUAAUGUUGUCUCUGCCAAGACAAUUUUUGGAUGUAAAUUAGUGCAUUCUCCACAUAAUAUCAUUAUGAGAGCUUUCAAAAGUAUGGUAAUGGAACUGGUUAUACAAUAUUUCAAAUUUGCAUAAUUAUAAAAAAAAUGGUACGUUAUAGACAAAAAAGAUGACAUUCUUGUAGAAAAUGAAGAUUGAUGUUACGUUUAUAGGUGAUAUUGAAUCUACAGUUACAUUUUUAAAACUUUGAUGGUGGUGGUUACGUUGCAAACAAUAUAACCCGAAUAUCUAUGAAUUUGAUAUGAUAUUCAAUCAUAAACUAACUAAAAAGAAUUAGGUGAUUGUUCUUUGUAUAAAAGUAAUCGAAUGUUGUUUCAUUUUUUGAGAUUAAAAUCAAAUACAAUAUUACACUUGAAUCAUAACUCCAUAUUGCAAAUAAAUACUGCUUUUGUAUGAGCAAAAGAAAAAACGAAAGCCACACGGCUGAAUAAACAGAAAAAAAAAAAAGGAGAGGACAGAAAAUUUGUUUCCCUACUUUUAGCAUGCAGAAUCAUAUGUAGAUCUAUGGUUUUAGUUAUAGGCAUCAGGGUUGGCCACAAGGUAGUUCUCAAUGAGCUUGAACAAACCAUGGGCCCUUUCUUUCCCAACCUUAACAUGCUCUUCCUUAAUCUCAAUAUCUCCAUUGGUGUGGUAGUGGCUAGUGCUUUUGAUGAUGGAACCGCUGCCGGAAGCCACCAACUUAGUCUCAUAAGAGAUCUUCUCAAUCUUAUCAGAAAUGACAUCUCCUUCAAUCAAACUGUAGUUGUAGACAAAGUUAUCCUUGUCAAUUCCAUCAACCUUGUGCUUCACAUAGCUGUAUUCACUUCCUUCACCAAAACUUAUCUUCUUGAUGGUUCCAACACCUCCAUCUCCCUCAAGAAUUUCAGCAGUUUUAACUGCUUGUGGAGCAAUCUUUGGGAUAAGGUUGUCAGCAUCAAGAACAAGAGCAUUGUACAACCUAGCAGGAGCGCAGACUGAGGCGAAUUCAGUUUCAUAUGUGAAGACACCCAUGGUGAUGAUUGAGAGCUUAGAAACUGAUCAAAGUAAGAAUGAAAUGUGAAGGAAGAAAAGAGAAAUUGAUAAUGAAGGUAUUUGAUGGUGGAAGAUAUGGAGGUGGUAUUUAUAGGUUAUUGGUGAGGGGCUGUUGUGUAAUGUGAACCCCUAUGGAUAGAGAAAAUUGGACAGUAUUUAGUUUCCCAUUGUGAACAUUUUAUUCAACGAAAGGCACCUCUAGAAGUUGAUUUUGUAUAUUCCAACUUAAUACAACUAGCUGGUGUGCUAAUUAAUAAUGUGGAAUUUUUUUAAUAGAAUGUUCUAACACGAGAUGAUCGGAAUAUUACAGCAGAGCUGGUGUGUUAAUUCUGUUGACUACUGACUCAAUAAUAUCUUUUUGGACUAGAAUAAAUCUAAGUUCCCUUUAUGAUUCAUUUCUUAUCUGAAGUUCUGAACUCUUUGAUCAACAUAAGGACUCCGAUGAAACUACAAUGUUGCUCGUUCCCAAGUGUUUUAUUCAAAUAGGGUCGCAUGAUUGGUUUAGAAUGUCGUCACAUUAGUGUUUCUGAAACUUCGACAUAAUAUUAAUUAAGAGCGGACUUAUUUGAAAGAGCCCGAAUAUUAGUAAGCAACCAGUCAAGUUAAUAUUUGUACAUUAUUUAAUCGACUCUAUGGCGCGAAUUUAGUUCCAUUGUACACAUGCAUGCUUAUUUCUUCUCAAGUGAGCCCAUCCUAACCCUACUCUUCUCCAACACACCCCCCAAAGUCUCUCUUUUCCGACGACGCCACCUGAAAUCGUUCUCUUCGACAACAACAUUUGUUCGAAGAUGAACGGUCAUGGGAGAGGAGAGAACGACAUCGAGAUGAGAGUAAUGGGAGUCAGAUGUUUGGUUACGUAGUUAAGGAUGUUUGGUUACAGGACUAGUGUGUAUAUCAAAUUGUUUAAAAUUGGCACAUAUUUGUAUCUUAUUAGGUCACUUAAGAGAGUGAAUAAAUUGAAUAUUUUCCGGUGAGUAUCCAAGUAUUAUCCUAUUAUUAAUUAGUUUUAUAGCAGAACUUCAAGUUCUUUCACCAUUUACAUUUUCAAAAGAUUUACAAGUAGUUUUGCUUUAAAAAAUAGAUGCAAAUUUAAAUUUGAGCCCACCAUCACUUUAUUAUCCCUCUUCCAGAAAAAAAAAAAAAAGAAAAGAGGAAAAACCAAACUUAUCUUUUGAUGUCCCUUUAAAUUUGCUCACUAAACUUUCCGACCAAAAGAAGCUCAAAACUUUAAGAAGGGCAACUUGUUCAAAGUAUUUCUGAAAGGUUCAUACCGAUCAUAAUUUGUGCCAACACUAUUACAGGUUGGAAUCAAGACUUUCAUUAAUAUUUCAUGAACAAUAUUACAAAAAUAUCAAUAUAUCUUUUAAUUUGAUUCCAAUUGUAACGUUUUAUUACUAUUUUUCUAUUAAUCAAAACAAAGCCAAAACAAAACAUUUGAACACAAACCACAAAUAUGAACAAGUUUUAAUUUAUUAAAAUGUUUUAAAAGAGUGACAUUUUAUAACCAAGGGCGAGAAAAACGCCAGAACAUACAAUAGUCCAAAGGGUAAGCUUCGACGGAGGGUCUCUGAAAAACCUUACUUGAAAAAGCCACUUGGGAAAAAUUCCAGUGAAAGAAAAGAGACCGAGCAAGCCAACAAAGACAACAACAGAACAUUUAAGUAGUUAUAGACUCCGAAAUUAAAAUAUCAACAAGCCAAGGAGGGCCUACAUCAGUCCAAAAAUCAAAGCAUUGUUCAUGAAGACCAUGUCACGCAAUCCGGUGCGCAGCCCCAUUCGCAGGUCUGGAAAUUGCCCACAGGACCAAGUAACGAUCCUGAGUUAGCUGUCGCACCACAACCACAUAGCUGUGCCUGUAGAUUAUCAACCAGUUUAUGCAAGUUCGUAAUGUACAGUUCUAUUGUUGUCCCUACUGCCUCACGACUAGUAUAUGCACUUCCAGAGGUUCAAUUUAGGAAUGACUUGACCUGCAAUUCAACAUUGGCUGCAAUGCGUCGACUUUUGAUUGGCAGUCAUUUUUCAUUGGCUUUUCACAUCUCCAAAUUUGGAAUAUUCAAUUGUAACAAAUAUUAUCCAAAUACACAGUCCUACUAUAUUAUCUUCUUCAGAUGCCCUUAUGUCCGCUACCCGUGACUAUGCCCGUUGUGAAUGUACAUAAAGUAUUAAUAGACAAUAUGAUUAGAGAUACUCCAACAAUACGUCAACAAAAGUCGGAUUAUUGAAAAGUCCAGUAAAUAUAACAGCACAGGACACAAAGUGUUAAGUUGGGGGAGAAUAUGAUCUCUAAAACACUAAUUACUUAGUGUUACGGUCUAAUAAUAUUCUUCUUUAAUUGUAAAUAAGAUAACUUAGGUUCGAACGUGUGAAUUACAAAUUUAACACCAAUUUAUUUUCUACACCCCUUAGUGUAAAAAUAUAUCUUUGUUUUAGAAAAUAUGAUGUGUGAUCUCUAAAGCACUAAUUGGUAAGCACAAGAAAAAAUUGAGGUUAGUCCAUCUCGUGGAGUAAUUGGCCAUUUCUUAUUCUAUGUCCAGAUGGUUCUUUCCUUGAUUACGAUACAAAAUUUCCUUGUACAAAAGUAAUGGUUCCCACGUCCACGAUGAAUAAAACCCAUUAAACAAUUAGGAGCUUGCGUAAACCUUUUGAUCCACCUUCUGCCUCAGCCUAUAAAUACCAAUACAUCUUCCUCACUUCUUCACAACUCAAAAUCUCCCAAUACAUCAUCUUUCUUUCUUAGACUUCCUCUUCGUCGAUUAUUUUCCCACUUCACAAACACAUCUCAGAAUCAUGGGUGUUUUCACAUACGAAUCCGAGUUCUCCUCCGUCAUCCCCCCCCCCACUAGGUUGUACAAUGUUUUUGUUCUUGAUGCUGACAACCUCAUCCCCAAGAUUGCACCACAGGCAGUGAAGAGCACUUGAGAUCCUUGAAGGAGAUGACGGCGUUGGAACCAUUAAGAAGAUCAACUUCGGUGAAGGUAGCACAUACAGAUAUGUGAAGCAUAGAAUUGAUGGAGUUGACAAGGACAACCUUGUGUACAAGUACAGUGUAAUUGAGGGAGAUGCUAUAUCCAAAACAAUUGAGAAAAUCUGCUACGAGACUAAGUUGGUGGCUUCCGGCAAUGGUUGCGUCAUCAAGAGCAUCAACCACUACCACACUAAGGGAGAUGUUAUGAUCAAGGAGGAGCAUGUUAAUGCUGGCAAAGAGAAGGCCUCCCACCUCUUCAAGCUGAUUGAAAACUACCUCUUGGAGCACCAGGAUGCCUACAACUAAACAUUGUCUGUUGCUGCAUUCAUGCGUUAUUCAGUCUCGUGUCAUCUUGCCUUCAAAUAUUGGCGUGGUUUUAAUCCGUUUUAUAUAUAUUUUUCCCUUCCAAAACAAUGUUUGGCUUGUACGUAAUUGAAGGUUUAGAUUGAAGAGUGACUGUUGUAUUUUCUUUCAUUUGUAAUAAACUCAAAAUUAAUGGAUCUGAUUAUUCCUGCAAGUUUUUUUUUAAUGAAAAUUUGUAUUUGCUAAUGUUAUGAUCCACUUUCCUAACUCUUUUAGUUUACUGAACACAUGAGAAGCGACAUUUCAAUUACCAGCAAAUCAUAAUAAUUGAAUAACAUUUGAAUCUCUAUUAGGGGUGGGCAAAUGAGUAGAGGAACCACAGAUCGGGGCGAGUACAGGCCGGGCCGGGCCUUUGUUUUUUACGGGGCGGGCCGGUUCCUAAACCUUAGAAAAACGAGCCCCGGACCGACCCGUUUCUAAUUAUAAUCAACAGUCGAAAUUGAAUGAUAACUUAUCAUGCAAUCUAAACCAUUAAUUUCUAACCUAGGGUUCCAGAAUUAGUUUUAGAUUUUCAGUCUCGCUCUCAAAGUCUCAAAAUCCCACCUCUCCACCAUCCCUCGAACCCCUACUCUGACGACAUUCAAGAGAACGCCCAUCACCGCCGCCGCAACCUACUCAACGGCACCACCACCACCCAUCCAGCCAUCAUCCGACCUUGACGACAUUCGUUACUUCGCCGGCUACCGUAAGUCUACUUCUCCGAAUUUUAUUUUUGUUGAUGCGGAGGAUUUGAUGAAUGCAUGAAUAAUAGGAUUUGAUUAGAGCCUAAAUCUUUAGGUGGGAGUAAUUUGGUGAAUGCAUGAACAUUUGGGUGAAGGAAUUGUGGAUCUGUUUGGAUAAUUUCUAUGUAUGGCUUUUCCCUAGAAUUAAGGCAAGAUCUAUGAUGAUUUCUCAAGUCCGAUGAAACUCUUGUUGUUUCUCAUUCUCUCUAUUUUCGGUUUUAUUUGUCGUCCUCGGAACAUUUGGGUGAAAGACUUGAGAAGCUUCAAAUAAUCAAUGUGUUUUAGCGCUAAGUACCAUUUCUGUGUUUCGUAAGACUGGAGGUCAUUAGAUUGUCCCUCCAUGCGCUCUGAUCACUCUUCGCAAGAGAGGGCUUUCCUCUGCUUCAUUGUGAUGGUUGUAUAUAUGUAAAUUAUGCUUAUUCUAGUUUUCAGAUUUGACUAUGUGUGUGUGUUGUGUGUGUAUGACGCUUGCUGUUUUCUUGUGCACAACACUUGUAUUUUCAGGAUGUCUUUGUGUAUUACAUAUUCAGAUUCUGUUUUGUGGUCCUUAAAUGAGGUUUUGCUUUUCACUUUUCAGUCAAUGAGGAAGUUUCAAUAGUGUUGGCCAUUCUGUUAUAAAUAUAAUAAGUAGGUCGGAUCAGAUUUUAGAACCUCAAUAGGCUAAGCUUAAUUUGUAUAUGAAUAUUGCAGAGGGAGAAGGAAGGAUAAGUUGUGGGUUUGGUAUGCCAUGGUCGAUUUAUAUAGAGGUCCUUCUGUGGUUGGAAUUGAACAGGUGUAUUACUUAAUCAUCCAGUAACUAAUUUUGGAUAAUGGAUGUUGUAAAUUGAAGUUGAAACUUUUCAACUUGCUCCAUUUCCCUUUUUGUUUUGUGGAAAUAGAAUGCAAGUUGCUUUCCUUGUCUGCAAACAAGUAGCUCACCAUUACCUGCCUACUUCAAUACCAUUAUCGAAUAAUUCUAGAUAUUUCUGAGUUUUUUAUUUAUUUGUUUCAUUGAAUUUUGGGUACGAUUGUUGGAAAAUAAGUUUUUGAAGAGAGUGUUGGAAAAUAAUUAAAUUAGGACACUGUUUUUUUUUCGUAAGUUAGGAAGUUGGCUUGUUUUUACGUUAGAGCUUUUUUGAUAUUUUAUGUACAUGUGUUUAAGAGGUUGCAGUCUGUUGCAUACUUGCUCCUUGACUGUAUUUAAGCUUGCCUCAAUUGUAUCACUUUUUUUUUCAUGGUCACGAGUGCUCCUUAACAGCUCGGUACAAAGAUAUCAUAUCCCAAGUUGGACACAUAUCCGCUGGUGAUUCGUCACUUAUAACAGCUCGGUACAAAGUUUCACUACCCCUACCUGUAACAUACUUAUAGCUUGUAGUUGUACUUACACCCGUUGCUAUUUAUGAACUUUUGUUUAAUAAUCUGUGCAAGUGUUGCAAUAUUGCUGCAAUCUGUGGUUUACAGUAUGUGUAAAUUGCAAUAAUCUCCUAUAACCAACAUAAUCUGCAGCAGUGAUCUUCCUUUUAUCAAAAGCCAACUUUAUCCGCAAGAAUUGUUAAGGUUGAACAUGUGCAGUUGUGCACCAGAAGAUGGCUGCAAUAUAUUAUAUAUGUCUAAUAGCUUUACAUUUUUGUAGGAUGAAUAUUGGGCUCCUCAAGAUUUCAAGAGGCUAUUAUCGAACGAUGUUUGAAUUUGUGCCGGUGUAAUGGUUGGAAUGUAAUGUUUGAAACUGAAUUCGUGCUGCUGUAAUUGUUUUUUCCCAAACAAAAAAAAAACAACUGGGAACUGUGGACCCGACCCGUUUCAAACGGGCUCGGUUCAGUUCAAUUCCUGUAAUGAAAUAUGAUGUAUUCGGCCCGACCUGGCCCGUUUCGUUUAAACUCCGGUUCCUUCAAAAUUAGGUCCAGCCCGUGCCCAACCCUAAUCUCUACCACAAAAGCAUAAAGUGAUGACAUGAAAACUCUGAUUUCGUUUUCCUUGUAAACCAUUUGGUUCAUACCAUAAAUACGCCCUUGAGUUAACACACCCAUGAUGAUGAUUUAAGAGCUUGUUUUUCCUCACCCUUAUGUGGCAUGACUCACCUCCAUCUGCGGUUCUUGCUUCUUGCAUUCAAAUUUUCUUAGCUUAUUUGAUUUUCGAUUUUUAAAUUAGUGUACAUCAUGCCAUACAGGAUAGGUCCGCUAUCCUAACGUGUGGUUUUAUUUUUAUAUCUAACAUAUUUCUUUUGGUGUUUCAAAGCUUGUUUUGCAAGUUUAUACCUUUUAGAGGGGGUUAGGCUCUAUGUUACUUCCUUCUUUUUCUUGUAUUUCUCGUUUUGCUUUCAAGAAGGGUCAAGUUUAUGUCCCUCUUUUCGUUUUGCUACUUUUCAGCUUAAAAUGAACCAUGACUUUGUAAAUAAACAGACUUACCAAACACAAAUUUGACUCAAAAUUUUUUUAUCUGUGCUUUUAUAAUAAUUUGAGCAGUACCAAACCUCGCCUUAAUUGUUUUUUUUUUCAUGAAUUUAGCGUUUUUUUUAACAAACGAUAUUAUCUACACUAAAGGGGUGAGAGAUCGGGCUAAGCCUCACAAUGGGCUAGCAAUAAUGCGGUUCAAAUUCGUCAUUGACGAGAGUCAAACCUAAGACCUCCCACUUAGAAGUGAAGAGGAAUACCACUGGACCGUAACACUAAGUGACAUUUAUUGUAUUUUUAGUUUGCCUAGAUUACUCUUUGGUACAAUUAUUUUUGGGGUUCAAACAUAAAAGAAAUUGAAAAGCAUUAGGUUUUGCAUAUCAUAACUAAUGUCUGAGACCUAACAAAUCAAUAAUGCAAAAAUUAUCGGACAUAAUGAACUAAAACAUGAAAAUAACAUACCGCACCAAAUUUACCAAACCUAAUGAACUAAAACAUGAAAAAUACAAACUAUACCAAAUUAAUCGUACCAAAUCUACCAAACCUAAUGAACUAAAACAUAUAACAUAUGAACCCGUACCAAAUUGAUCGUACCGAAUUUACCAGACCUAAUGAACUAAACAUAAAACAUAUGAAUCGUACCAAAUUGAUUGUACCGAAUUUAUGGGACUUCAACUAUAUAAUGUACCUAAUUGAAAUCACAACAUAAUAGACCUUACUGAAACUUCGGACCUAAACUAGUAUGUACCUAAUUGUUAUUUACAACACAUAACCAAACGUACCUAAUCAACCAACAGAACCAAACAAUGAAAUUCCCCACAUAGGCCUUUCAGUAAACACAUGUAUGCAUUGGUAAGUAAUCAUGUCUAUGCUGUGCACUCCACACAAUAUCAUUAUGAAAGCUUUCAAAAGUAUGGCAAUGAAACUGGUUAUAAAAUAUUUCAAAUUUGAAUAAUUAUAAUAAAAAAAAAGGUACGUUAUAGACAAAAAAGAUGAUGUUCUUGUAGAAAAUGAAGAUGGAUAUUACGUUUAUGGGUGAUAGUGAAUCUACCGUUACAUUUGUGAACACGAAAAAUUCCUGAAACGAAAGAAACAAGAACACAAAAUAAUAUUUGUAUUUGAUGAUUUUGGGUUACAAUCUCUCUCUAAUUUGAUCCUCUGAUUCGAUCUCUGUAAGGUGUUGAUUUGUGGAUGUGCGAUUGAUCCAAAGGGCCGUUGGGCUUAAUCUAAGGAUGAACGUUCAUCAAGGGCCGUGGGCUUGAUCUUGAAGGUGGAUUUGAGCGGAUCUUCAAGGAGCCGUUGGGGCUUGAUCUUAAGGAUGAGCGUUUCUUCAAGGGCCGUUGAGGCUUGAUCUUGAAUAACAGUAGUGAACGGAUCUUCAAGGGCUUUUGAGCUUGAUCUUGAAGAACAAUGAUUGACGGAUCUUCAAGGGCUUUUGGGCUUGAUCUUGAAUAACGGUGAUGAACGGACCUUCAAGGGCUUUUGGGCUUUGAUCUUGAAGGACGAUUGGAUGUGUGGAUUUGUUGACGUUUGUUGAUCCAAAGAGGCCGUUGAGGCUUGAUCUUAGGAUGAACGGAUGAUGAACGAUGAACAUUUUCUUCAAGGGCCGUCGGGGCUUGAUCUUGAAUUGGUGGAAGUUCUUCAAGGGCCUUUGGGGCUUGAUCUUGAAUUGGUGGAAGUUCUUCAAAGGGCCGUCAGGGCUUGAUUUUGAAGGUGGAUGAUUGUUGAUCCAAGGGCCGUCGGGGCUUAAUCUUGGAAGAACGAAGAGGGCUUUCUUGAUUCUUCGGGAACCUGGAUGCUUGAGAGCUUCGGAGUUUCAGAGCUUCAGAGCUUUAGAGCUUUAAGGUUUUGGUGUAAUAUGAAUUGGUUAUGAAUUCCCCUCCCAAAUGAAUGCAUUGGCUUCCUAUUUAUAGAAUUUUCCAAGGCCUAAUUUUGAAUAUAAUAUGCAGAUGAAAUAAAUCGCUUCUGCCAGGUGUUGACAUGUGUCCUAUUUGAUGACUUUUUUGAUUUAUUUUGAUUUUUCGUUUAGUCACACGCUACGUGUAAAAUUUAUGUGACACGUGAGCGUUGAAAUUGUAACUAUUGGUCAACAUUUAUUUCACCGAAAUUUCGAUGUCUACAAAUGCCCCCACUUCAAGGCGCGUCGUAUACAUGUGUUUAUCACGUGUAGGAGAUACGUUUUGAAGUCCCUUAGUGUAGAUGUUGAUCCAAGGGCUGUUGAGGCUUGAUCUUGAAUUAGAAGAUUUCUUCAAGGGCCAUUGAGGCUUAAUUUUGAAUUGGGCUUGAGAUUUCUUCAAGGGCCGUUGAGGUUUGAUCUUGAAUUGGGCUUGAGAUUUCUUCAAGGGCUGUUGAGGCUUGAUCUUGAAUUUUGUUUGAAAUUUCUUCAAGGGUCGUUGAGGCUUGAUCUUGAAGGUUGAAAUUGGACCACAAGGAGCUUCAUGUGGUAGAUGAUCUUUGGCUUUGGUAGUGGAUGAAUUGGCAGGUAUUUGUUUUUGCGCUUGUUGACUUUCCACAGCUUAUUCUUGAACUGGAUUUGAUUCAAGGGUGGUGGACGCUUGAUCUUGAAUCAGACUUGUGAUUUCCUCAAGGACCGUCGAGGCUUGAUCUUGAAUUUGGCUGGAAGCUUCUUUAAGGGCCAUUGAGGCUUGAUUCUUGAAGGUUGACUCGAACACAUGGCAAGCAGGCACGAGGUGAAGGUGAUGACUUGUUGCUUUGUUCAAUCUUUCUAAUUUACACCUGAGCAGUUUGGUCAACGGUAUGAUCUUCAAUAUUGAUGGGCUCUUCUUCCAGUUGGUGACUUGAUCUUUAAGGAUUUGAUUCAAGGAUGGUGAAUUGGCACGUGCUUUGUUGUGCUUGUCUCCACAUGCUUCAAUGUAUCAUUUUCACUUCCCUUAUCUGUUCCCCAGGCAGAUGUGGUAGACGAAGAGGAAGCAUAAGAUGUUGAAGAUGAGUAUUCGAGAGCACGGCUAGGUAAGCAAUCAGGAAGGGGUUCCAGGCGGAUAUGGCAGCUUCUUGAGUUCCUCAACUCAGACUCUUUCUGCUGAGUUGACUGUGCGGGCUGCAUUCUUCUCUGCUUGUUUCUUCUGCACGUUGUUACCACAUGCUGCAAGGUAUCAUUUUCACUUGCCUUAUCUGUUAUCCAGGCAAAUGUGGCAUCUUCUUUGGAAGUACAUCAGCAGCUGAAGACGAGUACUCGAGAGCAAUACCAGGUAAGCAACCAGGCAAAGGUUCCAGGUAGUCGAUUCCUUACCCGAGUUUGAGUGGAGGUUCUGGCAUAUUGCUUUCUUUAUCCUUGUCUUUGCAGGUAAGAACAAAGACAAAGGAAAUGACAGGGGGAAAGCAUGAUAUGAGAUACUCUUGCUUUCUACCCUGGUGAUAUGAGAUACUUUUGCUUUGGUAUCAUUUGUUUGCAGAGGUAUUCUAGGAGAGGAAGAAAACUGGGUAUUUCGAGAGGCUCUGCUGGGAGUGUACUCUCGGAAAUGAGGAAUGGUUGGGCAUUUUUGCAGGUCUGCCUUGCUAUGGACGGUGAAUGUCGACAUAUAUAGGAAUUUCCCAACAGCCAGUAGUGGCACUAUUCCUUUACUCUUGUCGGCAACCGUUGGGUAAUUGAAACAGUCAGAUUCACGCGUUUUCAACUUUGUCAGAAAUCUUUGACAAAGUUGCGCAUGAUUUCCGCAAAGUUGAGGUUGCAUGUGAAGGAUGGCGACAAAUCCUGAAAAGCCGGUCUUUUUUUUGAAAUUUGGAGAGUGGUGACUUUUCGAUCUUUGAAUCGGUGGCCUUGUUGCCUCUUCGAUCUCUGAACAAACGGCCCAGCUUUUGAAAUUCGGGGAUAAGGGCCUCUUUGGUUUCUGAACGACCACAUUGCCUCUUCGAUUUUUGAACAGGCCAUGUUGCCUCUUCUUUUUAUAGAGGCAUGAAUCGUGUUCAAAAACACAUUUAGAGAGUUGCUACCUGUUAGGAAUUUCCCUCAUUUUGUAUUUUCUAAGAAUUCGACUUACACGACCUCUUCUUCUUUCAUCAUUUUUGCAAAUGGCUUGCCCUUCUGAUCGUCGUCUUGAUUUGAAUGUUGGGGAAAAUGUUGAUAUAUCUUCUCUAGACAACAUAUGGUGCCCGUCCUUCUUAUCUGCCACCGGUCCUCUUACAGUUGGGGACUCUAUGAUGAAGAAUGACAUAACCGCUACGGUGGUAGCUAGAAAUCUUCUCACCCCUAAGGACAAUAGGAUCCUUUCCAAGCGGUUUGAUGAGCUGGCUGUUCAGGACUCUCUGGCUUUCAAUGUUCAGUGUGCGGGCUCUGUAUCAAAUAUGGACCAACGCCUUCUUGCUCGAACUCGUCAAGUCGAGUCACUGAUGGCUGAGUGGCGAGUCUUAAGUAAGAGAUUAGAGGGAUUAAGCAUGAAAACAGAGAGAUGCACAUGCUUGCCAAUAGCUACUCAACGAGCAUGAAAAGAAAGCUCGACCAGCUAUAGGAAUCUGAAGGUCGGAUUCAAAGUGACCAUCGGACGUUUGUGACUUUACUCCAAAGGCAUCUACUGUCUUCGUCCUCUAGAGCUAUACCAAGUGUUAAGGCUGCAAAUAAUCAACUUCUGGUGCCUCCUCCUUCUGGAGCUCCGACGAGUACUGAGGCGCCAUCUGAUCAACCUUUAUGAAGGCUUCCUCCUAUUUGCUUUUUUUUUUUUCAUGUAAAAUGUACAUUUAUGUAAAUUUUGAGAGAAAUCAAUAAAUGAGGCUUCUUUCAUUCAAUGUAUAUAUAUAUUUUUUGGUCGGUGCGCUUGGCAUCAUCAUUAUUUUUCUUCUUUUUGCCAAUUUGCAUGUCUCCUUUUUUUGCUUUCUGCACGCCAUCAUCCCUAAACAAAUGAUGGCUGUCAUUUUCCUUCUUUUUAUUAUUUAUUUAUUUCUUUUGGAUGGUGCCUGAUGCACCAAAAGCUUUAUAACUUUUUUUUUUAUUCUUUUUUUUUUUUUUUUUUUUUGCAUGGUGCUGUCCAUCAAGGUUCCACCAUUUUUUUUUCUUCUUUCCAGAUUGGUUUGUCUCCUUUCUUUUUUAUUCUCUUAUAUAUAUAUAUAUAUUCCCCACAUGGUGCAGGCAAUGGGCAGAAGAUGGAGCAGAGGGAGUAUGCAGAGCACGACACGGACGGAUGCACAAGCAGCAACUGCCGAUGAUCCUAUUGCUCAGGGAAGGUCAUGAGUAUGGUGAUGAAGUUGGAGGCUAGAGAAUGAAGAGCAAGCUGUCCCAAGAUCACCCGGAGAUCACUAGAGCUCCGAUGAGAUCUGAUCUGGGGUCGAGGGAGAUCAUCUUAUUGCUGCCGUUAGCAUUGAUCAACGGUUGGUGCUGCAUCGACAUGUUGCUGCCAUCGGCUGAGCAGGGAAGAAGUAGAGUACCUCUCAAGCUUUCUUCAUGGGUCUCGGUGAAUAAUCUGGCAGAGAGAACUGUGUAUUGCAGUCACGGGAGAAUGAUGCAGAGGAGAACGAGGACGAGUCUGAUGAUGCAGCAGAAGCCAUGGAGUAGGAGUGUUCUGUAUUUGGAGGAGUUGAUAGAGGCAAGGAUUCUCAACAGCCUACAUGAAGCAAAAGCUUUGCCUUCGCUCCGGAAUCGCAACCUUGGAGUACCAUCCUUCAUAUAAUUUAUGGCUCGUUCCAUCGAAAUGGUACCCGCUAUGAAGAGUUCAAAUGUCUCGUUUCCGAGGGGUGAGGACGUAGACGGAGCUCGCGGUCGCUUUGUCCUGUUGAGUUGUGGAGCGGUUGUGGCGACGUUGUCGCUGUUACGAUGGCUACCCUUUGCUUGCUGCUGUGGAGAAAGUCUGAGCGUUGCAUGCUGCAAGGGAUGAGUCUUGGUGUUAGAGCUUGACGUGCUGGAGCUUGACGUCCCAGAUAAGCGUGGUUGAUUCGAGCAUCAAGCCCAACUCGACGAUCAAUGACGGGGAGCUAAAAACGAAGAUGAAGCAGCAGCUUGUUCCUCCAUUUGACCAUGAGGGUGACGUGUGAACGGGCUGAAGCAUGAGACCUCUAAUGCUAGGCCCACUUCGACCGAGUCAUCCAUCCUUCCCUUUGGUACGGUGAAGGUGGAGAUGCUGGCGUUAGGUAGAAGGAGAGAUAGAUAGAGCUUGGGUCGCAGGGAGAAAAUUUGAAGCUCUGAGGUAUUGAAGAUGAUGACAGGGCCUGUGGCUUGAGGUGUAUGCGAACCAAGAGAGAAUUGGACUUGGGCUUUUGGGAGUUUGUAAGCUGAAGAGGAAGUGAGCUGUUGGGGAUGAAAAUGGUACUGUGCUCCAGAUGUGGGGUCCAAGAGAGGAAUGAGAGGUCUUGACAACUCGACGUGCACUCUAUGGCCCAUUUCAGUGCCUCAGCUGCUAUGGUUCGAAUGGGCUUCAUGCUGGGCCUGAUUCUCGGGUUAGGCGUUGAAGAAGAUUUUAAAUAAGGAUGGGAAAGGAGCAGAAGCAAGAUUGAUUCUUUUGGACCUCACAGAGACAGCAUCGUAGAGGCUAUGCCUUCUUCACGUGAAGCUCAAGCAGCAAUGCAAAUGAUAGCAACUGCUACAUAUAUAUAUAUAUAUAUAUAUAUAUAUAUAUAUAUAUAUAUUUUAAGAAACUGUAUUUUUUUUACAAAGAAAUUGUAAUAAAAUUGACUUUCAUCAAUCAAACCUUUAAUCAAACAUUUUUUUUUUAUUUUGAUGUGAUUGAACUCGAAAUUGAAUGCUCGAGCUACCUACGUCCCUUCCAAAAAAAGAGAUCAAGUCAAAACGUAGUUCAAAUGCUUUUUUUUUUUGGUGCCGUACGCAGUUUAUGCUCUUGCCGGCCAAGAGCGUUUGGUGCCAUUUGCAGUUUCCGCUCAUGCCGGCAAGGAGCUUUUGGUGUUGCCUUUUAUGCUCUUACAGACCAGGAGCUUAGUGCCAUGCAGUUUAGGCUCGUACGAGCGAUGAGCCUUGUUAGUUCGUUAAGCAAUCCGGGAGAGUCGUUCCUCGCAAUCUUCAUAGCAAUGAGCCUUGACUGAGUAGUUGAAGAAGUCUUCUGGGAAGAUGUCAUGCAUCGUGAUGGGGAUGGAUGAUCUUCAUGUCAAAGUUUCAUUAUCUCCAACACUUUCACAUUGUUCUGAAGUUUGACAAGAGCUGUUUUGCCCUCUUUCCCAUUGGUGAACUUGUGGAAGAGAUGGUUGCUUCCUGGAGAGGCGUUCAUCGCAAUCUUUAUAGCAAGGAGCCUUGACCGAGUAGCUGAAUAAUUUUCUGAGGAAAAAGUGAUCGCGCAUGGUCAAUCUUUGUGUCGAAAUUUCCUCAUCUUCAACACUUUCACAUCGCUUUGAAGAUUGGCAAAAGCUGCUUUGCCCCCUUUUCGAUUGGUGCACUUAUGGAGAAGACAUAUGCUUCGUGUGCAGUUUCUUCGGAAUGACAUGAGUCUAUCCUUCAACUUCACUCGGUUUGACUGGCAUGGUUUUGGAGCAUGCUCCCAGCGAUUGAGAUGAAGAUUUUAAGUUGACAGAGCCAGAAGUGACGUCUUCUUCCAGGAUUUCGUCUUCUUUGUCUUCUUGGGCCUCCUAUGUAGUGAUGUCAUUUUGGGUUUGUUAGUAUGAAGAUUGGCCGGUGUAGAUAAUGGUGCGCCUCCUUACCUUCAGUGGUUCUUUUAUGUCGACUUCCAAAGUUGCUUGGCGCUUCAUCCUUGAAGGAAUCAAGCUUUGAACAUCGUCUUUUCCUGCUAGGUUGUCGAGCUUUUCUCCCUUUGGCGUUGUCUUUCUGUUUCUAGAAGGCUUCUUAGUUUCUUCAAGUCUGUCCAAAGCCGACCGUUGCGGAGGAGAUCUAGCUGUGCCGCUUUGUUUUUUGGGUUUUGAUAACUUUUCAAAGACAGAUCUUUACGGUGUUGGCGUCUUAAGCCUUUUGAAGACGGAAGUUCGGCCUCGACCACUGAUGCGAUCAAGUGCCGAAAUUCUAGGUUUUGAAUGAUUCAGCCUUUCGAAGACUGAAGUUCGAAUGGCAGGUUUAGGCUCCACUUUUGGCCUUGUGGCUUGUGGUCUUGGCUUCCUUAUUUUUCUGUAGGUCGUCGAUGUCCACCCUUUCUUAUCACCAGUAGAUGCAUCUUGGUUGCUUACCCCUAGUGAUGGUUGUGUAGGAGGUGCCGUGUGACUUGAACAUUAACGGGAAUGGUCAUGCAUGCUUCGGAGAUGCACAGGAUCGAGUGAUCCAAACACGAUAGUAGUAGUGUGUGCCGCAACCGUGUCUUCGAGGUCAAGCUCGAUUUUCCCUUGUUGUGCUAGCUUCAGGAUGAGAUCUUUCAGUACAAAACACUUUUCCGUUGGAUGACUGAUGAAACGAUGGAAUUUACAGUACCUUGGACUAUCGGUAUGAUUCAUCUCUUCUGGCCGUCUACACUCAAGCAAACUGAUCACCUUCUUUUCCAACAAGUCUUCUAACAUGGCAGCCACAUCAGAGUCGGGGAAUGGAUAAGUUUUCUCUUCAAGCUCCUUCAAAGUGCGUCUACGCAUCUCUUGAUCACGAAAAGCUUCGGUUUGAAUCGCCUUGCCUCAUGUAGAGACUUUGAUGGGAGUUGUGUUGACCGUCAUGGCAUCUUCAGGGCAUUAAUCUUAUUGAAGUAGGGCUUCGAGUAGAACAAUGAUGUAUGUGAGCUCCCUUUGUACUGUGCUUUGAUGGUGUUGGUGAUCAUCUCUUGCAGCUGCUGGAUAGAAAGAGAUCCCAUGAGUGCCGCUGCUUGGUCUGGCUCCGGCUUCACAUCGAUCUCCUCCACCGGAGGCUCCUCUUCUUCGCCAGCUCCUCUCUUUAGUGGAUCAUCCUCUGGGUCGAGGUUCUCGCUGUUCUGUGGCUCCAGUCGGUUGACGAGUGCAGCGAUUUGCAAGUCUUUUUCUUCCACAAUCCGUGUUAGCCUUGCGAUCGCUUCAUUCAUUUGAGCCAGUUGUUCUUCAAUUGAGGUAACGCUGAUGGUCAUGACUUAUACAACCAAUAGACAUGACUUUCCUUUAAACAUCCAGAAUGCUAACGAAGAGCGUCGUUGGCUACUUUGGGAUGUCAUCUUGUGUGCCUCAGCAGCAUGCUUCCAUGCCCCUAGCGAGGUCAGGUUGAUGACAAACUCGCGCCUUUGAUGCUCCCCUUGCUCCUUUAGCAGCACCAACUUUGAAGUGGCAUGUUAAGGAGCGGUUGUGGCGCCAAUGGAUUGUCCGUUCGCGGCAGAAGUGCUCAAGAUCCUUCCCUUAGUGGUUGCGAGAACAGCUUGUCCCUUACUUGAUGCCAUUGACUUUGAGGCGUGUUUGGAUUCCUUGAACGAAGAAAGAGAUAAGAGGUAGAUAUGGUCCCACUGGGCGUGCCAAAUUUGUGAACACGAAAAAUUCCUGAAACGAAAGAAACAAGAACACGUGCACAAAAUAAUAUUUGUAUUUGAUGAUUUUGGGUUACAAUCUCUCUCUAAUUUGAUCCUCUGAUUCGAUCUCCGUAAGGUGUUCAUUUGUGGAUGUGCGAUUGAUCCAAAUGGCCGUUGGGCUUGAUCUAAGGAUGAACGUUCUUCAAUGGCCGUUGGCUUGAUCUUGAAGGUGGAUUUGUGCGGAUCUUCAAGGAGCCAUUGGGGCUUGAUCUUAAGGAUGAGCGUUUCUUCAAGGGCCGUUGAGGCUUGAUCUUGAAUAACGGUGAUGAACGGAUCUUCAAGGGCUUUUGGGCUUGAUCUUGAAGAACAAUGAUUGACGGAUCUUCAAGGGCUUUUGGGCUUGAUCUUGAAUAACGGUGAUGAACGGACCUUCAAAGGCUUUUGGGCUUUGAUCUUGAAGGACGGUUGGAUGUGUGGAUUUGUCGACGUUUGUUGAUCCAAAGGGGCCGUUGGGGCUUGAUCUUAGGAUGAACGGAUGAUGAACGAUGAACACUUUCUUCAAGGGCCGUCGGGGCUUGAUCUUGAAUUGGUGGAAGUUCUUCAAGGGCCUUUGGGGCUUGAUCUUGAAUUGGUGGAAGUUCUUCAAAGGGCCGUCGGGGCUUAAUUUUGAAGGUAGAUGAUUGUUGAUCCAAGGGCCGUCAGGGCUUGAUCUUGGAAGAACGAAUAGGGCUUUCUUGAUUCUUCGAGAACCUGGAUGCUUGAGAGCUUCGGAGUUUCAGAGCUUCAGAGCUUCAGAGCUUCAGAGCUUCAAGGUUUUGGUGUAAUAUGAAUUGGUUAUGAAUUCCCCUCCCAAAUGAAUGCAUUGGCUUCCUAUUUAUAGAAUUUUCCAAGGCCUAAUUUUGAAUAUAAUAUGCAGAUGAAAUAAAUCAUUUCUGCCAGGUGUUGACAUGUGUCCUAUUUGAUGACUUUUUUGAUUUAUUUUGAUUUUUUAUUUAGUCACACGCUACGUGUAAAAUUUAUGUGACACGUGAGCGUUGAAAUUGUAACUAUUGGUCAACAUUUAUUUCACCGAAAUUUCGAUGUCUACAACAUUUUUAAAAACUUUGAUGGUGGAGGUUACAUUGCAAACAAUGAAUAUGGCAUUCUUAGCAGUAAAAUCUGUGGUUUUGUUAUAAGUAACAUGUUAUGUUGCAUUAAAAUAAAACCCAUAUUUUCCAUCCAUAGUGUAAAUAUUAGUAAUAUCAUCUCAUUAAAGCCUUUAUCUCUAAAAGCCUUAUUUUACAUAUUGUAUAUUGCAUAUACUGUUCAAUAUAUAUAUAUAUAGCAUGUUCAUGCACACACAAUUGAUAUGUCCAAAUUUCGAAUAUGCAAGUUAUGUUAUAAUAUGCUACAUUGUUAUGUUGAAUUGUGUGAGUCAAAGGAAAACAAACAAAAAAAAUAGAAACACGAACUAGGGUUUUAAAACCCUAAAUCGAAGAAAAUAAUGAGAAAAUUGUGGGAAGGGUUCCUCAACUUUAAUUCAAUUGGAGUAAUGGUUCUUCAACUAAAAUCCAUAACCAUUGGUCCCUUAACUCAUCAAAAAAUACAGCUAUGAUCAUUUUCAUCAACUCCAUCAAAAUUCCGUUAAAAUGAGUUAUAAGGACUAUGCUAUAAUUAGAUUGAAGUUGAGGGAUCACUGUUCCAAUUAGGUUAAAGUAUGUAUCAUUUCUCCAAUUAAGUUGAAGUUAAGGGACUAUUGCUACAAUUUUUCUCAUUUGGUUUUACAUAUUUGUCUCUUGAUUCAGCCUUACAUGCAUAUCACUUGACUCAUUUUUCACAGAACUUCUAACGAAGAUGAAAAUGACCAUAGUUGUAUGUUUUGAUAAGUUAAGGGACUAGUGGUCAUGAAUUUUUAGUUGAUGAAUCACUACUGCAAUUAUAUUAAAGAUGAAAGACUAUUGUUAUAAUUUCCUCAAAAAACAUUAAAAAAAAGAGAAAAUCGCAGCUGAGCCGUGGCUUGAAUAUGCACCAUCCGUGCCACAACGUCGAGCCGAGCCUGCACUCUAGCCUAUGCUCCAAAACGGCACCCUGCAGCCCCAUGGGCUUGCUAAACUCACUGAACCUAAAUCCAGUUUUUUUGGGCUUCUUCUCCCUGCCAGGCCUGCUGCUGACACCUCGCUCGGGUCAACCCAGCUAUGCUGGGCUUCAGCUCCUGCUGGGCUGCCUUCUUCUCGGCUCAAGGCCCGCGCAGGGCCCCCUUUUUUAACUGCAAAGCCAGCAGCAUGGGUGUUCCAUUUCUCCGGCCAGGCCAAAUUUUUGGCCUGUUCUGCUUCCAGCCUGGAACCGACUAAGUUGGGGUGCCCACGGCUAAGCUCAUUUUUGAGCUCUAUUUCUCACUAAUUUGGCCCGCAAUCAUUCAAACCCAAUAUAACCCGAACAUCUAUGAAUUUGAUAUGAUAUUCAAUCAUAAACUAAGUAAAAAGAAUUUGAUAUGAUAUUCAAUCAUAAACUAAGUAAACUUAUCAUAAACUAAGUAUAAAAGUAAUCGAAUGCUGUUUCAUUUAUUAAGAUUAAAAUCAAAUACAAUAUUACACUUGAAUCAUAACUCCAAAUUGCGAAUAAAAAUUGCUUCUAUAUGAGCAAAAGAAAAAAUCAAAAGCCACACCACUGAAUAAAUAGAAAAAAAAGGAGAGGACACAACAUUUGUUUCCCCACUGCUUAGCAUGCAGAAUCAUAUAUAGAUCGAUGGUUUUAGUUAUAGGCAUCAGGGUUGGCCACAAGGUAGUUCUCAAUGAGCUUGAACAAACCAUGGGCCCUUUCUUUCCCAGCCUUAACAUGCUCUUCUUUGAUCUCAACAUCUCCCUUAGUGUGGUAAUGGCUGGUGCUCUUGAUGACAGAACCGCUGCCGGAAGCCACCAACUUAGUCUCAUAAGAGAUCUUCUCAAUCUUGUCAGAAAUGACAUCUCCUUCAAUCAAACUGUACUUGUAGACAAAGUUAUCUUUGUCAAUUCCAUCAACCUUGUGCUUCACAUAGCUGUAUUCACUUCCUUCACCAAAGCUAAUCUUCUUGAUGGUUCCAACACCUCCAUCUCCCUCAAGAAUUUCAGCAGUUUUAACUGCUUGUGGAGCAAUCUUUGGGAUGAGGUUGUCAGCAUCAAGAACAAGAGCAUUGUACAACCUAGCAGGAGUGCAGACUGAGGCGAAUUCAGUUUCAUAUGUGAAGACACCCAUGGUGAUGAUUGAGAGCUUAGAAAAUAAUCAAAAUAAGAAUGAAAUGUGAAGGAAGAAAAGAGAAAUUGAUAAGGAAGGUAUUUGAUGGUGGAAGAUAUGGAGGUGGUAUUUAUAGGUUAUUGGUGAGGGGCUGUUGUGUAAUAUGGACCCCUAUGGAUAGAGAAAUUUGGACAGUAUUUAGUUUCCCAUUGGUGGUUGUUUCCAAUGUGAACAUUUUAGUCAAAGAUAGGCACCUCUAGAAGGUUAUUUUGUAUAUUCCAACUUAAUAUUACAGCAGAGCUGGUGUGCUAGGUCUGCUGUCUACUAAUUCAAUAAUAUCUUUAUGGACUCGAAUAAAUCUAAGUUGCCUUUUUUAUUCAUUACUUAUCUGAACUCUUUGAUCAGCAUAAGGACUCCUAUGAAACUACAAUGUUACUCGUUCCCUAGCGUUUUAAUGCGAAUAUCGUCACAUUAAUGUAUUUAAGCUUUGACAUAAUAUUUGAGCGGUUUGUUUGAAUGAGCCUAAAUAGUGAUAAGCAACCAGUCGAGUUAAUUUUUGUACGUUAUUUAAUCGACUCUAUGCCACGAAUUUAGUUCCAUUGUACACAUGCAUGCUUGUUUGUUCUUAUUUGUCACAUCAAAUGAUACCUUAAUGUAGUCAAAUAUGUGCUCUCUCUAGUAUUUUCCAUCUACUAAAGGUAAUGAUCUCACUUUUAACUCUACAGGUAUAUAUGGACUUCAUAUAGCAGUAAAAAGUAACAGUACUCUUUCAAUGCAUUAGAAAUUAUAUGACUUUUGACUGAAUUUUCUGAUGCAUAGGAGAUAGCUUAAAUCUAAAGGAGGAGGAAAAAAAGACAUCAUAUCUUUUCCCCGGCGAAUCCAACCCGACUCAUUUCUUCUCCCAAAUCCUAACCUCAUUCUUCUCCAACAAGCCCACCCCCAAAGUCUCUUUUCUCUCGCGACGCCACCUAAAAUCGUUCUCUUCGACAACGGCGUCGGUUCGAAGAUGAACAAUCAUGGAAGAGGAAAGAAUGACAGAGCUAUGAGAGAAAUGGAGUCAGAUGUUUGGUUAUAGAAAUAGUGUGUAUAUCAGAUUAUUUUAAAUUGACACAUGUUUGUAUCUUGUUGGGCCACUUAAGAGAGCGAGUAAAUUGGACACUCCCCGGUUAGUAUCCAAAUAUUAUACUAUUAGUAAUUAGUUUUAUAGCAAAACUUUAAGUUCUUUCACUAUUUACAUUUUGAAAAGAUUUACAUGUAGUUUUACUCUGAAGAAUAGAUGCAAAUUUAAAUUUGGGCUCACCAUCACUUGAUUAUCCCUUUUCAAGAUAUAAUAAAGAAAGGGUUUUUAUGGCAAAUUAUUUUUGAAAUUGAAAAUCAAUUAAUAUAGUUCAUGAAAAUAGGUAUUGCAAAUCAAUGUGGUAUUUCUAUCAUAAUUCUAUUAAAAAUUCUGUUAAGUGUUGAUGUAGUACAUAAAUGGGUCCCAUAAGUCUUUUUUUCUUCUCAUAAAUGGUCCUUGAAAUUGACCCGCGACAUCAAAAUGGUCCCUAAAAUUGACCUGCAACCUCAAAAAGGUCUCUGAAAUUGAAAAUCGAUCAAUGUAGUCCCUUAAGUGUCCCAAAUGACACACCCCGUCCCGAAGGAGGGCGUGCUGGCCGUCACGUGAGAGUGACGUAACCAUUUACACAGUUCGGAAGCUUUAAAAAAAAUUCCAAUUACUAAGAUAACACACCCGAGGGUGAGUCCUACUUUUGUGAAUUCUGUCAGAACACCGUUGGAUUCCUCGUGGCCACCAAAGCUCUGCUAACUUGAACCUGGAGGGGCGCAAAACAAAAUUGAGUGGGUCAGUAAAACAAAGUUUUUCGAAGACUUUUCAUUUAAAACAUUUAUAACCCCUCACCGUAAAACCUGUAUACUUUCCCAGAAAAUAGCAUAUAUAUAACAUAUAUAUAAGCAAAAAGCUCAAAUCUCAAACCUUUAACACUUUUCAGAAAUAUAUAUAUAUAUAUAUAUAUAGAUAUAUAACCAUAUGAAAUCUCAAAGCUUGAAUCCCAAAUCUUUAACAUUUUUCAAGAAAAACAUGUCAUGCCAUAAAUCAAAAUAUAAAUCAGGUGAAAUAAGGAAUCAAUCGGAGACCCUGCAGUUGGUCCUAUACGAUUAAUUCAAUAGCUCAAUAUCUCACUAAGCCGGAGUCACCACAGUGACCUAUACGGCCCUACUCUGCACAUCACUCGGAACUACGUAAGGUAGUCUAUACGAUGAAAGGUGUAAAAUACGCUCUAGUGCUUCUCUCAUCAUAUCAUCAGCGCGCAUAUCUAAGGUCACCCACCAGUCGGAACCCCUCUAAUGGUCUGUACGACUGGCAUGUCGGAACCCUCACAUGGUCUGUACGACAUCCACCUACUUGGAUCCAAGGCGAGCGUGCGGUGUGGUGAAUAAUAUAAGCACUAACACCUAGGGUGCAGAUUAUGAGCUCAAACAUCUCAACAACAACAAUUCAAUGAAUAAACGAACUCACCUGACUUGCCUGUGCCUCCACAGCACCAUGCAACAUGUAUGCAUCAUAUAUCAAUCAUAUAACUCAUAUGAAAUUCACAUUUUCCAAAUAAUUCUAUGCAUGGCAUUUUCAAAACAUAAUUUCGCAUAAAAGCAUUUUUUCUGGGAAAAAACAAUAGUAUAUAGGUAAUACGAAAACAAAACUGCCCACUCACCUGGAGUUCGCCCACAACUCCCUAGCACCGUACAUCAAGGCGUCAUGACGAUUAGCGCCUAGAACAACAAUCAAAUCCAACCUCAGAAAUUCUGCCGAUAGAAUACAUAACUAUAUAAGACACGUCACUACGUAGUUCGAUCCGGAUGAUCUGCAAUUCAGAUUUCAAAUCCGUAACUUCCAGAGGUCCACAAUAUACCUCUAGGACAACAUCCUAAAAUUUCAUUACCAUCCAACGGUCGGAUCUUCGUCAAUUUCCAAAACUAAGUGACGGUUAACAUUCUAUUUUAUGAACUUACAACUUCAAUUCCAGAAGAUCCGUAAAUCGGAUUCCCAAUCCGUAAGUUCCUAUAAUCCUCAAAUAUUACGUAUUACAACGUAUCAAAGUUUGAUGAUGAUCCAACGGUCGGAUCGUCAAUUCACAUUUUCAUCUAACCACGAAUCGUAACCAACUUAGGUUCAAUUAUUCAAUUUACGUCCAUCAAUUAUCAAAACAGAACCUAGAACCUUAAUCACAAGCUAAUAAUGACAUUGGCGGGCCAUUGGCCACGCGCCGCCGCGGGUGGCGGUUGGCCGCCCCCGGCUCGCCGGAAAAUUCAACUAUUUCAAAAAAUUACCAAAAUUUGCAGAUUUGAAGAUCUCAAUGAGUAGAACAACUUUCAUACCUGAGACCAAGGCCAAUUUGGCCUGGAAGUGCUUCAAUUUCACCAAAACCGUGAAGAACCCUAGAAUUUGGGUGUUUCCAAUUCGACCUUCAAACUUGUUCCAACGCCUCAAUUACCUCUUGGGCUUUGUUCUAGGUCCUAAAGGAAUGCUAAAGGUGUUAGUAAUUGAAAGAAAACAUUUCAAAAUUUGGAGAAUUUAAACAAAAGGGUCGCGGCACCCGUAGGGGGUGUUCUUCGCGAAAUCACAACGAAAUUCAAUGAUUCUUGGGGUGAAACGUAAAGAGGGAAGGCCUAGAUGAUGAUUAGGAGUGGUACCUUGACUCAAUUCGUCGGAAAUUUGGACGAAAUCCAUCGAAUUUGGGCGUGGGCACCGCCGGGUCGAAAACGACCCACGGGUUCUCCCCAACCCAUUUCCUCUUUUCCUCCGCUUCUCACCCUCUCUCCCUUCCUCCUUUCCCUGUUCCGAUUGGUCAGUUUCUUCCCCUCUCUGCCUCUGAUUCGCUCUCUCUCCUUCUUCUCCGAUUGGGCAGUUUUUGCCCAAUCUCUCUUCCUCUUUUCUGUUUUCUGGUUCUUCCCACGCACACACCCACACAAAACUUUCAUUUUUCUCAUCCCAGCCAUCCAUUUCAAAAUCCUUUAAUCUGGGCCAUCCAAAUUUUAAUAAAAGAAUUUCUAUAUUUUACUAAAAUUAUAAUUCCUUAAAAUUCCAAAUUUCAAACGUUAAUAACUUCUUCGAUAUAACUCCAAAUCACGAACCGUCUGCGCCCACGCGUCCGUAACGACGAGUACUACGAGGAUAUGUCAAGAAAACAAAUCUUAGAUGGCCCGACACAACGAUUAACCUCGAAUGAUGUGCGUGCCUCAAAGGGCAUUUUUGUAAAAUCCUUUAUUAAAACUUUAAAAAUUCUUAAAAUUAGGGACGGGCUGUCACACCAAAUCCAUGUAGUCCUUACAUCACAAUUCUGUCAAAAAUUUUGUUAUGUGCUAAUGUGACACAUAAAUGAAUCACACAAGUCUAAUUAAAUUAAAAAAAAAAUAUAUAUAUAUAUAGGUUUAAUAAUUUAAUAGUAAUAAAAAGUUGUGAACCCAAAAAUCCAAUCCUGCAAUCAUCUCCGAUCUCAGUCCACAUUCCUCUACCUCCACUUAUCUUUACGCACUUCGACACCCUUCACCGAAUUAAACCUGGAUUGAGAUCACCUUUGAUGAUGGCUUGGCUAAUUGGCAAUGACUUAUGGGACAUCACUGUUAAUAUUUAGGCGAUCAACUUCCUCACAACCUUAAUCUUGGAAAGCUUAUUCGACGCUUUCCUGGUGGUCUGGUGACUCAAAGAAUGGUGAGGUUUGCCUUGAGAUAAUGAGGUUAUAACCAAGGUGCAUCUAUUAUUGGUUGAAAACUAUUUCCAAACCCCCUCUUAGGCCUUGGUUAAGGUGCCUUUGAGAAUUUAUGGAAUAGAUCACUCUUCGGAGUAGGUCCUACUAUAAAAAAAUAAUAUAAAAAAAAUUCUAUUGUGCAAACAAGUAUUCAAACAAUUUUUUUUUAUUAAUUAUUAAACUCACAUAAGCACGUAACAAAAGAAUUGUGGCGGAAUGAUCAUAUUGAUUUGUGACAAGGGCUACAUUAAUCAAUUUUCAAUUUUUGGAACCAUCUUGAUGGUGUGGGUCAAUUUCAUGGACCAUUUGUGAUAAAAACCCAAAAAGAAAUAAACUUAUCUUCUAACUAAAAUGGUAUUUGACGUGGCUUUAAAUUUGCUCAUUGAAGAAUUUUUCGAUCAAUAUUAUACAUCUCCGUAUACACCUCCGACUAAAGAUGCCCCAAGGGAGGAGAAUUCAAAUUUACUGACGUUUUUUUUUCUUUUUGUUCAAAAGAAGCUCAAAACUUUAAGGAGGACAACUUGUUCAAAGUAUUUCUGAAAGGUUCAUGUGGAUCAUAAUUCGUGCCAUUUGCAAGUUACAGGUCAGAACCAAGACUUUCAUAAUAUUUCAUGAAGAGUAUAACAAAAUAUUAAUAUCUUUUAAUUUUAUUCCAACUGAAACGUCUUAUUACUAUUUUUUUAUAAAUCAAAACGAAGCCAAAACAAAACAUUUGGAACACAAACCACAAAUAUGAACAAGUUUAAUUUAGUUGUAGGAAUCAGGAUUAGCCAUUAUGGAAACGAUCAAAGAGUUCUAAGGAAAUAUGAAGAAAAUUGUUGAUCUACAAUAUUCAGGUUUUGACUUGGAGUGAAAGGGAAUGCUGAUGUGAAUAGCUAUGCUUGUAUCAACCAGUUUAUGCAAGUUGGUACUGUACAUUUCUAUUGUUGUCCGUACUGCCUUGCGACUAGUAUAAGCACUUCCAGAAGUUCAAUUUAGGAAUGACUUGACCUGCAAUUCAACAUUGGCUGCAAUGCGUCGGCUUUUGAUUGGCCGUUAUUUUUCAUUGGCUUUUCACAUCCAAAUUGGAAUAUUCUAGGAAUUAUUAUUGGCACUCCAAAAAUCUCAUUUUUCACUUCAAACUUUUUAUAAUUAUUAAGAAAAUUACACUUAUAAGAGUGUAUUAUGAGAUUUUAGAAGUACUAAUAACAGUUUCCUAUUUGAUUGUAACAAAUAUUAUCCAAAUACACAGUCCUACUCUAUUAUCUUCUUCAGAUGCCCAUAUGUCUGCAACCCGUGACUAUGCCCGUUGUGAAAGUAUAUAAAGUAUUAAUAGAGAGGAUGAUUAGAAAUGCUCCAACAAUACGUAACAAAAAGUAUUAAAAAUUCCCGUAAAUAUAACAGCGCAAGGCACACAAAGUUUUAAGUUGUAAGAGAAUAUGACUUCUAAAGAUCUAAUGAUAUUUCUUUUUACUUGUAAAUAAAAAAUUUUAGAUUUACACGUGUGGAUGACAAGUUUAAUAUCCAUUUAUCUUCCACAUCCCUUAAUAUAAAAAUAUAUCUUUGUUUUUAAAAAAAUGAUGUGUGAUCUCUAGAGAACUAAUUGGUAAGCACAAGAAAAAAUUGUGGUUAGUCCACCUCGUGGAGUAAUUGGCCAUUUCUUAUUCAAUUUCCAGAUGGUCUUUUCUUGAUUACAUUACAAAUUUUCCUUGUACAAAAGUAAUGGUUCCCACGUCCACGAUGAAUAAAACCCAUUAAACAAUUAGGAGCUUGCGUAUACCUUUUGAUCCACCUUCUGCCUCAGCCUAUAAAUACCAAUACAUCCUCCUCACUUCUUCACAACUCAAAAUCUCCCAAUACAUCAUCUUUCUUUCUUAGUCUUCCUCUUCGUCGGUUAUUUUCCCACUUCACAAACACAUCUCAGAAUCAUGGGAGUUUUCACAUACAAAUCCGAGUUCACCUCCGUCAUCCCCCCCGCUAGGUUGUACAAUGCCUUUGUUCUUGAUGCUGACAACCUCAUCCCCAAGAUUGCACCACAUGCAGUGAAGAGCACUGAGAUCCUUGAAGGAGAUGGCGGAGUUGGAACCAUUAAGAAGAUCAACUUCGGUGAAGGUAGCACAUACAACUAUGUCAAGCACAGAAUCGAUGGAGUUGACAAGGACAACUUUGUGUAUAAAUACAGUGUGAUUGAGGGAGAUGCUAUCUCCGAAACAAUUGAGAAAAUUUGUUACGAGACUAAGUUGGUGGCUUCCGGUAGCGGUUGCGUCAUCAAGAGCACUAGCCACUAUCACACCAAGGGAGAUGUUGAGAUCAAGGAAGAGCAUGUUAAGGCUGGCAAAGAGAAGGCCUCCCACCUCUUCAAGCUGAUUGAGAACUACCUCUUGGAGCACCAGGAUGCCUACAACUAAACAUUGUCUGCUGCUGCAUUCAUGUGUUAUUCAAUCUCGUGUCAUCUUUUCCAUCAAAUAUUGGUGUGGUUUUAAUCCAUUUUUAUAUAUAUUUUUCCCUUCUAAAACAGUGUGUGGCUUGUACGUGAUUGAAGGUUUUGAUUGCAGAGUGAAUGUUGUAUUUAAACUAAAAAUUAAUGGAUCUGAUUAUUCCUGCAAGGUUUUUAUUUUAUUUUUAUUUUUUUAAUGCAAAUUUGUAGUUACUAAUGUUAAGUUCCAGUUUCCUAACUACUUUACUUAACAUAUGAGAAGCGACAUUUCAAUUACCAGCAACUCAUAAUAAUUGAAUAACAUUUGAAUCUCUCCCUCAUAAUAGCCUAAAGUGAUGAAAUGAAAACCCUGAUUUCGUUUUCCUUGUAAACCAUUUUGUAAUUCAUACCAUAAAUACGCUCAUGGGUUAGAAAUAAUAUGGUUCAAAUUCGCAUUUGAGCGAAAAUUGAACAUAAGACAUCUCACUUACAAGUGAAGAUGAACAACACUAGACCAUAAUACUAAGUGACAUUUAUUGUAUUUUUAGUUUGCCUAUAUUACUCUUAGGUACAUGAUUUUAAGGGUUCAAACAUAAAAAUAAAAAAAUUGAAAAGCAUUAGGUUUUGCAAAUCAUAAUUAAUGUUUGAUGCCUAACGAAUCAAUAAUGCAAAAUUAUCGAACCUAAUGGACUAAAACAUAAAAAUUACAAACCACUCAAAAUUGACCAUCUCAAAUUUACCAAACCUAAUGAACUAAAACAAGAAAAAUAAAAACCGUACCAAAUCUACCGGACCUAAUGAAUUAAAAUAUAAAAAAUACAAAUCAUACCAAAUUGAUCGUACCGAAUAUACCAGGCCUAAUGACCUAAAAUAUAAAGCAUAUGAAUCGUACUAAAUUGAUCGUACUGAAUAUAUGGGACCUAAACAAUAUAACGUACCUAAUUGAAAUCACAUAAUCAAAAUUUUGGAAACUUCAGACGUAAACUAGUACCUAAUUUUUAACAAAAACUAACAACGUCCUAACAAUGAGAAUUUGUUCCCCACAUAGGCCUUCAUAACACAUGGUAUGCGGAGUAAUCAUGUUUCUGCAACAAAUGGUUUAAAUUAGUGCAUUCUCUCCACACAAUAUCAUUAUGAGAGCUUUCAAAAGUAUGGCAAUGGAACUGGUUAUAAAAUAUAGACAAAAAAGAUGAUAUCUUGUAGAAAAUGAAGAUGGAUGUUAUGUUUUAUGGGUGAUAGUGAAUUACGGGUUACAUUUUUCAAAGGUGGUUAUGUUGGAAUGAACGUGCAUAUGAAAGAUGUUGUAAAUAAUAUGUGUAUGUUUUAUAAGUGUCAUUUUUUUGAUUAUAAAGCCCAUAUUUUACAUAGUUGUAAUAGUAAAAAAUCCGAUCCUUAUUCUAAAACAAUAUUGUAUAAUAUACUGUUCAAUAUAUAUAGCAUGUUCAUGCACACAAAUUGAUAUGCCCAAAUUUUAAAUAUGCAAGUUAUGUUAUAACAUGCUACAUUGUUAUGUUGAAUUGUGUGAGUCAAAGAAAAAAAAAAUAGAAACACGAACUAGGGUUUACAAACCUAAAUCACAAAAAACGAAGAAGAGAAAAUCGCAGUUGAGCCACGGCCUGAAGCUGCCCGUGCCACCUGCGGAACUAAAUGCUGCAAAACCGGCACCUUGCACCCACUUGCUGACGGCAACAGUUUGGGCUUCUCCCUGCCAGGGCUGCUGGUUGACACCUCACUCGGGUCCACCCAGCUUUGCUGGGCUCCUGCUGCUGCUUGGCUGCCUUCAUCUCGGCUCAAGCUCCAAACUGAUAACAUUCGAGAUUAUACAAAAUUAUACACAAAGGAUCAUUUUUUGGCUUUCUCUUUAGUCCUAUGUCUCUUAUACAUAAAGUGAGUUACAAACUCACUCUCAAUGUUACAUGUUUGGGGUUUGUCCACGCCCCCUUGUGUGAAUAAACUGCUUUUCAAAAUCUUAGUGAAGAUUUGGAUUUGCUAGUCAUGUUUGUUUUUUUGUGAAAUAAAUACCAAUUGAAGCGGACGGUUUCUUCAACAACAAAUGAGAUGGGUCCAACUACUCAUAUAUAAUGAAAUUGAGCAUGUUUCCCAUCUCUCCUCGAGAAAAAAAGGUGGGCUAUGCAAAAUUGUGCUCAAUUUCAUAUGCGCCAAUUCCGCAAGAUCUCUUCUUAGUUGGGGGAAGAAUCCGCAUGAAUCGGAUUUUUGAAACAUAUCAAGAAAGAAUUGGUUAGACAAUGUGAUCAUAUCUUCUUAGGGCUUUUUGGAUGUAUAAUGCAAUUUCAAUAGUAAUGCAGUAAUGUUUGGGUUAGAAUCAGCGGAUCAAGGAGUGGUAACUCAAUCACGGGGGAAACUUAGGGCCUCCUUUUUUCACUGCAAAGCACAGCAUGGGUGUUCCAUUUCUCGGGCCAAGCCAAAUUUCGGAUGUUCUGCUUCGAGCCUGGAACAAACUAUUGGGGUCCCUGCUAACCCCAAUUUUGUUUGGCCCGCAACCAUUCAACCCAAUAGCCCUAACAUCUAUGAAAAUGAAUAAUCUAAAAAGAAUUAGAUCAUUGUUCUCUGAUAAAGUAAGAAUGUUGUUUGUUCCAUUUAUUGAGAAUUCAAAUCAAAUACAAUCUUACUUGAAUCAUAACUCAAAUUGCAACCAAAAUCUGCUUCUGCUAUGAGUCAAAGAAAAGAAUUAUGGAAAGCCACCGCAAAGUAUACAGAGAGAAGAGAGGUAGGGAUGUAGUGUGAAAGGAUGGAUUAAUUUGGAGUUUGACUUCCCAGUGGUUUUUCAAUUUGUACUUUAGCAAAGAAAGCAGCUAGAAUGAUUAUUGAAAAUUAACUUCUAAAUAGCUUGUUGCUAAUGUGGAAUGGGAGUUUUUGUUUAAUGAAAUGGACUUUUUGCAUAUUAUAGGGCUGUUUGUGAAAGCCUGAAAAAUUGAUAAACAACCAAUCGAGUUAGGUAAUUUUCGUUAUAUAUGGUUCGUUUUUCUAUGGCCACAAGUUUUAGUUCCAUUAUGAUACAUGGCAUGCCAGUUAUGUUCUCAUUUAUCACACCAAGUAUGAAUGCACUAAUGUAGUUCUUGUAUGUUCUAUUUCCAAAGUAUUUUCCAUCUACUAAAGGUAAUGGUCUCACUUAACUCUUUUAUUGCAGACAGUAUUUUCAAUAACAGAAACUUUUAUCAAUUUUAGAAAUGAAAUAAUAACUGCCAAUAUUUUCUUGGCUUGGAGAUAGUUAAAGAUAAGAAAAAAGAAGGACAUUAAAUAAAUCUCUUAACCUACACGAGCCUUUUCUUCAAGUUCUUACUCUUGGCAGAACUUCAGUCUUUCACUAUUUAUAUUUUCAAAAGAUUUACAAGUAGUUUGCUCAAAAGAAUUGAUGCAAAUUUAAGUUUGGGCCCACCGUCACUUGAUUAUUCCUUUCAAGACGUAAAAAAAAAAAAAAAAAAAAAAAACUUAUCUUUUGACUAAAAUGGGUAUUUGACGUCACAUUAAAAUUGCUCAAGAAACUGAACCGAUAUUAAAACACCCCACCUCCGGAGGGGAGGAGAAAUUCAAAUUACUUCUUUUUUUAUUCAAAAGAAGCUCAAAAACUUUGGCCCAACCAACUUGAAAAGUGCUGAUCGUGGCUGCCCCAUGCAAGUUACAAAAAUUUGACCAGACUUUCAUAAUAUUUGAAGAGUAUUACAAAAAUAUUAAUAUUUUUUAAUUUUAAUUUCCAAUUGGAACGUCCCUAUUACUUUUCCUCAAAACGAAAAGCAAAAACCAAAAAACAAACCACCAUAUGAACAAGUUCUAAUUUAGUUGUAGGCAUCAGGGGUUGGCCAUUAUGAAAGCGAUCAAAGAGUUCUAAGGAAAUAUGAAGAAAAUUGUUUUUCUACAAUAUUCAGGUUUUGACUUGGAGUGAAGUGGAAUGCUGUAGGUGCUAUAUAUAGACCACAACAAUUGAGAGUCUGACCUGAUGUGAACAGCAAUGCCUCUAGAUCAUCAACCAAUUUAUGCAAGUUGGUACUGUACAAUUCUAUUGUUGUCCCUGCUGCCUCACGACCAGUAUAUGCACUUCCAGAAGUUCAAUUUAGGAAUGACUUGACCUGCAAUUCAACAUUGGCUGCAAUGCGUCGACUUUUAAUUGGCCGUCAUUUGGCUUUUCACAUCUCCAAACUGGAAUAUUCAAUUGUAACAAAUAUUAUCCAAAUACAGAGUCCUAUUCUAUUAUCUUCUUCAGAUGCCCUUUUAUGUUUAGGGAUGGUAUUGGGACGAUUACCGUAUCAAAAUUCAUUUAUUAAUUAUCAUACCAAAUUUUUAGUAUGACAAAAUCUAUUACCAUUACCUUGCUAAACUUUUGGUAUAUUGAAUUUCGGCAUGUCAAAUAGUUUAGUUGACAUAGUAUGGUAAUGGUAAUUACCAAUUUGUUUUGGGCCGUUCUUUUGGGCCAAAAUUUGAAUUUUUUUCCAACCUAAUUCAAGGCCAAAACAUGUUUUGGCCACUCCCUUUGGGUUUCUAGAACUUUUUUAUUUAAUUUUGAGAAUUUUAUAGAGAUUCAUUAAAUAGAUGGAAGAAUUGCUGAAAGAACCCAAUAUCCCUAAAAAAAUAGUACAAUGAUUCCUAAAUUCCAUCUCUACAUUCUUUAAAAUUGUAUAAAAUUAACUUGAUAGAUGAGGCCAGGGAGAAAGACAUCUCAAUUUGAUGAAGGAGGAGAUGAGAUGGACUUUGGAGAGAGAGUCGCGGAACUGGAGCAACAGAGAUGAAGUCGGUGGCUAGAUGAGUGAAAAGAUGAAGAGUCGCAGCGCAAGAAAGCUUAGAUUUUUUUUAUUGGGAAAGUAGAGGUUAGAUGGUGAGAUGAUUGGAUAAAUGAUUAGGAAAAAAAUAUAAAGUGCACAUAUAAUGAUAAUAAUACCGAAUUAUAUAUAAAUGAAUAAAUAAAUGAUAUAAUUAUUAUAAUAUUAAUAGUAGUGGUACGGUAUGGUAUACCAUUGAUAUUAGUUUUGAAUAUCAUUACCGUACCAAAAUGUAUGGUACAGUACAAAUACCGUACCAUACCAAUGAUACAAUUUUUUUUGCACAACUUUGGUAUGAUACGGUUAAUAUGGUAAUUUAGUAAAAAAUUCCAUCCUUAUGUCUGCAGCCCGUGACUAUGCUCGUUGUGAAUGUCCAAAAAGUAUUAAUAGAGAAUAUGAUUAUACUCCAAUAAUAUGUCAACAAAAAUUGAAUUAUUGAAAAGUCCAGUAAAUAUAACAGCGAAAGACACAAAGUGUUAAGUUGGGAGGGAAUAUGACCUCCAAAACAUUAAUUACUUAGUAUUAUGGUGCAAUGAUAUUCUUAUUUACUUGUACAUAAGAGAUAUUAGGUUCGAACAUUUGGAUGCAAGUUCAACACCAAUUUAUUUUGAGAGAUUAUAUUUACACAUCCCAAAUUACUUCUCCCACAUCCAUUUAAUUUUUUAAUAUUUUCUACACACCACUAACAUUUAAUAGAAAAAAUAUAUCUUUAAAAAAAUGAUGUGUGUGAUCUCUAAAGCACUAAUUGGUAAGCACAAGAAAAAAUUGAGGUUAGUCCACCUCGUGGAGUAAUUGGCCAUUUCUUAUUCAAUUUCCAGAUUGUCCUUUCCUUGAUUACAUUACAAAAUUUCCUUGUACAAAAGUAAUGGUUCCCACGUCCAUGAUGAAUAAAACCCAUUAAACAAUUAGGAGCUUGCGUAAACCUUUUGAUCCACUGCCUCAGCCUAUAAAUACCAAUACAUCCUCCUCACUUCUUCACAACUCAAAAUCUCCCAAUACAUCAUCUUUUUAUCUAAGUCUUCCUCUUCGUCGAUUAUUUUCCCACUUCACAAACACAUCUUAGAAUCAUGGGUGUUUUCACAUACGAAUCCGAGUUCACCUCCGUCAUCCCCCCCGCUAGGUUGUACAAUGCCUUUGUUCUUGAUGCUGACAACCUUAUCCCCAAGAUUGCACCUCAGGCAGUGAAGAGCACUGAGAUCCUUGAAGGAGAUGGUGGAGUUGGAACCAUUAAGAAGAUCAACUUCGGUGAAGGUAGCACAUACAACUAUGUCAAGCACAGAAUCGAUGGAGUUGACAAGGACAACUUUGUGUACAAGUACAGUGUGAUUGAGGGAGAUGCUAUCUCCGAAACAAUUGAGAAAAUCUGUUACGAGACUAAGUUGGUGGCUUCCGGCAGCGGUUGCAUCAUCAAGAGCACCAGCCACUAUCACACCAAGGGAGAUGUUGAGAUCAAGGAAGAGCAUGUUAAGGCUGGCAAAGAGAAGGCCUCCCACCUCUUCAAGCUGAUUGAGAACUACCUCUUGGAGCACCAGGAUGCCUACAACUAAACAUUGUCUGGUGCUGCAUUCAUGUGUUAUUCAGUCUCGUGUCAUCUUUGCCGUCAAAUAUUAGUGUGGUUUUAAUCCGUUUUAUAUAUUUUCUUCCCUUCCAAAACAGUGUUUGGCUAGUACGUAAUUGAAGGUUUUGAUUGAAGAGUGAAUGUUGUAUUUCCUUUCAUUUGCAAUAAACUCAAAAUUAAUGGACCUGAUUAUUCCUGCAAGUCUUUCUUAAUGCAAGUUUGUACUUGCUAAUGUUAUGUUCCACUUUCCUAACUACUUUAGUUUACUGAACACAUGAGAAGCGACAUUUCAAUUACCCGCAAAUCAUAAUAAUUGAAUAACAUUUGAAUCUCUACCACAUAUAGCGUAAAGUGAUGAAAGGAAAUCUCUGAUUUCGUUUUCCUUGUAAACCAUUUGGUAAUUCAUACCAUAAAUAACCCCAUGAGUUAACACACCCAUGAUGACGAUUUUAAGAGCUUGUCUUUCCUCAUCCUUAUGUGGCAUGACUCACCUCCAUCCGCGGUUCUUGCUUCUUGCAUUCGAAUUUUCUUAGCUUAUUUGAUUUCUGAUUUUUAAAUUAGUGUGCCUCACGCCAUAUAUGUUAGGAUCGUACAAGUUCAUCAAACCAAUUCGCUAAUUUUAUCAAAUAUGGAUCGUACAAGUUCAACUCACAAUUCAUCAAAUAUAUGCACAUGACUUACACGAGUCUAUAGACCAUUUCCCUCUAAUUCAAUAAAGUCACUAUGAAGUAUAAAAUGAACCUUUCAUGUGCGAAGUUUACCGGACAACAAAGGAAGGUCCGUAGUCCUAAAAAGACUCGCAAUAAGGAAUCAACAGUUGGCUACUACUGCAAAAGCUCAUUGUAAAGGCAUUGUAGGCAGAAGGGAAGCAAGGAGAUUUUGACUGAAUAAUUAGUUCAACAAUUUGGUGGGUGAGAAUAUGAAGGUAAAGUCUCGUAUCGGUGAUUGGACCAAAUUUUGUUGUGGUUACAAGAAGUUGAGCUAUUUUUUAUAUUGUCAAUUAGUUUUAUGGUAAAAUCUAAACUUUCUUAAUGAUAUCAGAGCAAGUUGUUUCACAUGUAAAGCCUAACGGCCAAACAUGUGCCCCAUGCUUAAUUUGUAUUGCCCAUGUGUUAGACUUUAAAAUUCGCCAGAUGCGAAGAAGUGUGCUAUAAUAGUAGGACAAAAUCUUAUAACCGUAAAAAACCAAACCUUACAAGGGCUUAGAAUAAGUUUAUUUUAUUUUAUUUUUAUUUUUAAGUAACGAUGGCAUUCAUUGAUAGGAGCCCAAACAGCUCAGAGGUAGUACAUCAAAGAUUACAAGCAGAUAGAAAGACCAUUUACAAGCAAUCCUGGACCAGAAGAUCCAAAAUAAAGUUUGGUGGGGUAAUAACCAUUCGCAAUGGGUUCCAAUUGACAAGCUAAACUGAGCAAGUUGAUGGGCAACACCGUUGGCUUGGUGACGAAUAUGGGAACACAAAUAUUUAGUGAUUGUGGGAAGAAAAGCCUUUGUAUCUUCCACUAAAUGCCUGAUUGAUGAACAGUUAGGAAAUCAUUUGCUAGUGCUCUCAGAAUCUGAAGAGAAUCACCUUCGAUUACUAGAUUUUUAAAACCCCUUGUCACCGCCCAAACCACACACUCCCUAGCUGCCAAGGCUUCCGCGCGCAUGGAGAGGGGAUGACACAUUUGGAAAAUUCAGGCAAGCAGCCGCCACGAAAAAUCCCAGUGUCGUCUCUUACAAUGAUACUCACACCCCCCAAAAGGUUUCCCCACGCCAAGCACCAUCAAAAUUGAGUUUCAAACGCCUUGAGGGUGGCGUUGUCCAUUUGGGAGGACCAGGAUUUUGGCCAGGGGCCUGAGCAAGGGGGUGUUUUCCGACACAAAUUGUUGCCACCAUGAGAGGACCUUAGUCACCAUUAAAUCUGGAGAAUCACAGCGGUCAUUCCAAAGCUUGUAGUUGCGGGAGUUCCAAAUAUCCCAACAAAUCAUCAUGAAGACUUCCAACGUAUUUAAGGGGGUAGGUUAGAAAGAAGGUCCAACACCCAAGCUUUGAAGGACGGUGAAUCCUGGAGGUUGGUAAGGGCCCAAGAGGGGAGAACAACCAAGCACAUCGAGCAUAGUGACAAUCCUUAAUAAGGUGGGACACUUACUCCACAAAGGAGUUGCAUAGUACGCACAAUAGAUCCGUCGUAAUAUGUUUCAAGCCCAAAUUUCUCCUUGUGGGGAGAGAUUCAGUGCACAAACGCCAAAAGGAGACACGCACCUUUGGGGUAACAUUUGCGUGCCAAACUUCGGACCACAAUUCGGAAAAAGGAUAUGGGGAUGAAGAAGAUGAACCAUGUUGAGCACUCAGCCGAACCCAUUCCCUCGUGACGUGGUACGCCGUUUUCACCGAAAAAAUGGCCUUUUUCUCAUGGUGCCAAAUGAACUGAUCAGCCACAUCACGUAGACUCAGAGGAAUAGAGCGAAUAAGGUCAACCUCCACCGGGGAAAGGAAAGAAUUGAGAAGAUCCACCCUCCAUGUUUUGGACACGGGCUCAAUCCAAUCUGCUACAAAUUUCAGACUACAAUUAGCCGGCCUUGGGGAGAAAAUCCGAAACAUGGAUGAUGGGAGGGAAAUUCAGGGGUCUUCCCAUAAUUUUACCGAUUUUUCAUUCCCAAUUAGCCAUCGCAAACCCCGAGAUUACACAUCUCUCGCAUUGCAAAUGCUCAUCCAGCAGAAGGAUGAGUUAGCUACUCCUCGUAUCAACUUCCUUCACAGUCAACGUCUUAGUAAACUAAUUUGUACUGGUAAAUGCAUAACGGUGGAAAUGUCGAAGGCUAUCUGUCCUUUUUUCUUUUACUUAUGUAUAUUUUUAAAAAUUACUUGUUUUCUCAUUUUCUAUUAAUUAUUGCUUUCUGUAAUUUUUCUUGAUUUUAUUAAUUGUCAAUUCACGUAAAUUCAAAUACUCGCACACCUUUUACUUGAUUAAAGACUAAUCGCAGAGUCUAGCUACUCCAAAGGCUAAAUAUCAUCGAAUAAUUUACAUAUAAGUAGUAUAUGUAUUAUUUAUUUAGAUUAAAAUUAAAUACAGUAUUGCUCUUUAAUCAUAUCCGAACUGCAAGUCAGAGAAUUGCUUUGGUAUGAUGAAAAUUUGAAAACCACACACUUGAAUAAACAGAGAAAACAAGACACAAGUUUGUUGCCAAAUAGAUGGUUUUAGUUGUAGGCAUCAGGAUUGGCCAGAAGGUGGCUCUCAAUAAGCUUGAAUAGACCAAGGGCCUUGUCUUUGCCAGCCUUAACAUGUUCUUCUUUGAUCUCAACAUCUCCCUUAGUGUGGUAAUGGCUAAUGUUCUUGAUACUAGAACCAGUGCCAGAUGCCACCAACUUAAUCUCAUAAGAGAUUUUCUCAAGUUUGUCAGAAAUGACAUCUCCUUCAAUCAAACUGUAGCUAUACACAAAGUUAUCUUUGUCAAUUCCCUCAACCUUGUGCUUUAUAUAGUUGUAUUCACUCCCUGUCAAAUGGAAAAAUAAGUUAGAAAUUAAGAUACUAGCUAGUGUUUUUGAUAUAUAUAUUAAAUAGAUAAAAUUAACAAGUCAAUGGAGAAGAUGAUGAAAAUUAAACAAACCUUCACCAAAACUAACUUUCUUGAUGGUUCCAACACCGCCAUCCCCCUCAAGAAUUUCAACAGUUUUGAUUGCUUGUGGAGCAAUCUUCGGGAUAAGGUUGUCAAUAUCAAGAAAAAGGGCAUUGAACAACCUAGCAGGGGGGAUGACUGAGGUGUAUUCGGUUUCGUAUGUGAAAACACCCAUGAUGAUGACUUUUAAGAGCUUAGAAAAUGAGCAAGGAAAUUAAGAAUGAAAGAAGGAAGCAAAGAGGAUGAUUGAUGUUGAUGUGAGAAAAUUUUAUCACCAGAGGGUAGUAUUUAUAGAUUUGGGAUGGAGGGUACGUGUACAGUAACCCCCUAUAUGUAAAGGAUUUCGGACAAAAUUUGAAGUUUACAAUGGAGGUUUUCCAUGUGAAAUGAAAAUGAAAUAUAAUUUUCAAUUGCAUGCAUAAAAUAUGUUAUUUAGUUUUACAGUCGAGUAAUAUUCUUCUUCACUUAUAAGUGAGAGGUUUUAGGUUCAAUUUUCGCCAAAAGCAAAUUUCGACCACAUUAUUGCUAAGCCUACCUCAUUCCCUUAGUGUAGAUAAUAUGGUUUGUUAAAAAAAAAGUUAAUUACAUGCAUAAAAUAUAAAACAAAAAAUGCAUAAAUGUAUUAAGUCAAAGAAAGCCACAAAUAUAAUUUAUAGAAUCAAUGCAUAAAUGCAUAAUUGUCCAAAAUCAAACUCAAUAUUAUCGUCAUUUCCAACAGGUAGAAUAAUAGUGAAUACACUUGGAUUUUCUUGAUGAUCAUACAAUCGAUAUCAACUAUAUAUUAACUAACAACACCAAUUAAUUCAUGGUUAAUCAUACAAGAAAAGGAAGAAGAUGCAAGUAUUUAACUUCGACAUAAAAGACAACCUUAAAUGUCGGUGGGCUGUUUGAUCAUGACAUGUUUACAAAUCAUAAUUUGGAUAAUACAAUAAUAAGCGGAGAGAAAGGCAGUACAAGUAGGGAGAAAGACUACACACAAAUCUCAUGAUCAGUUGGUAUAAUAUACGGUGCAGCAUACAAAAACGCCGUCUUGAAAGAAUAAGAUUUAUGUCCUCGUAAUUCUAAGGGUAUUUCUGUAAAAAGAAAAUAAACAUUUUAUUUUUUGAUCAAUUUUCAAUGGCACGAAUUCCCUGAUUUAGUAGAUUAAGAGGAAGGGAUCCGGAGAUAAUCUUUUUCCUUUAUAUUUUAGAUACUAACAGAAAAAAAAAACUAAAUAAGAAAAAAAAAUGUGUUCCUUAGUAUUACGGUAUAAUGAUAUUCUUCUUUAUUUGUAAGUGAGAUGUAUUAAGUUCGAUUAUCACCAAAAGCAAACUUGAACCACAUUAUUCAUAUGGUUAACUCAUUGUGGGGUUUAGUUCACUUCUCAACCCUGUGUAGAUAAUAUGUUUGUUCAAAAAAGAAGAACAAAGAAAAACAAAAAAGCUGAAGCCACAUUGUGCGACACAAAAAGUGCCAGAAAAAAAUGAAUCCUCAGCGUGAGAAAAGAGAACGAAAACGCACGAUGUGAUCGUUCCAUAGAGAAAAAAAAUGAUCGUGCUGCUCCACUGGAGUCUGGGACCUUGCGUAUAACUGUAUUCUUCUUCCUCCUUAUGUAGUGUUGACCCUAAAAACUACCAAGCCUACGUGGCACGCAGGCCGAGUAAUCUAUAAGCUAACUACGUCCUUCGAUGAAUGCGGGGCGUGCCAACUCGUCGGCCAAGCUCGACCGAGGAGUAAAUUUGUUGAUGAUGCGUUGGGUGCGCGGCUGACUUCUGCGUCUUGCGAUUGCGACCGAGGAAGGAACACGUCUCGGCCUCUUGGGUUCUCGAACCUGAAGACAAGGCUACUAUUUUUACGAAGUUCACGAAUCGUCAUCGUCGGAUUCAGUCACAGUGAUGUUAUUCAUCAGAGUAAACUCACACCGAAUCAACACCAAAGUGUAAGGGUACAAAUACUUAAAGCGAAUAUAAGUCUUAAUAGUGAACGUGGUUCGGCCGUCUGAAUGCUGAACUCUAAAUCCCACUUGAGAGUAUCCAAUCAUAAAAUAACUCGGCGUGCAAUGCGCCGAGCUCAGUAAACUGUAACACCUCACUUCGCCGAGAAGGCUAAUGAGAUGACCUCAAUCAAUAAGGAUUCAGAAAUCCUUCUCGACCGAGACUUGGAUAGGUAACCAACCGUCCUCGCCGCAGUGCUGUUGAUGCCAACGAAAGAUGCUGCGAGAUCGGCUCGAGUAAAGUUUACUUGAUCGCCGAGAAGGCUAAUUCCCUGGAGUAGAAUAAUAAGAGUUCAGAAAGAUUAACCUUUUCUUUAUAUUUUCCUACUAACUGGUUUGAUCCCCACGAAAGAUGCGCGAGGACGGUAUACAUAUAUUCUUCUUUAAUUUGUAAGUGAGAUGUAGUUCGAUUAUCACCAAAAAGGCAGAACUUGAAACCACAUUAUCAUAUGGUUACCAUUGUGGGGUUUAAGUUUUCACUGUGUCAACCCUUGUGUAGAUAUAUAUAAUAUGUUUGUUUCAAAAAAGAAGAACAAAAAGAAAAAAACAAAAAAGUGGAAGCCACCAUUGUGCGACACAAAAAAGUGCCAGAAAAAAAUGUAAUCGUGCUCAGCGUGGAUGUUCAAAUGAUUAGCGAGGAACGAAAAACGCACCGAUGUGAUCGCUCGUCUGGUGCACUAGAAACCCAAAAACAUGAUUGCAAUGCUGCUCCACUGCGGAGUCUGGGGAACCUUGCGUAUAUGACCAGUAUUCUUCCUCCUUUUAUCGUAGCACACCCAAAAACUACAACGUCACCCCUACGUGGUCACGCAGGCCUUGGGUAAAUCUAUAAGCUAAGCUCGGCAUUUACGACGCCAUUCACCUCUCGUCCAUGGAGGUCAUCCUGGACAAGGAGUCCUCCUAGCGGCCUUAUGUUUUGGUGCGGGCCACCAACACCAUGGUCCUCCUCGGUGGGCCCCCCUUUCCACCAUCUUAGGGAUUUCUCUGGCCUUUAGCUCCCCCGAGGAUAAAUUUGUGACGAAUGCGUGGGUGCGCGGCUGCUUUUGCGCGUUCUUGCUGAUUUGCGAACCGAGGAAACAAGGGAGAACAACUGUCUGGCCUGCCUUGGGCCCUUCCGGUCGGAACCAGAAAGACAAGCUACUUUUUACAGAAGUUCACCAAUGGCGUCAUCGUCGGACUUCGAUCCCGACAGGAGUUUUCUCAGAAGGCUUUUACACCAAUCAACACAAAGUGAAGAAAUGAUUAGAUACUUUUUCGCUCUUCGAUGAACUUUGGAACAGUCUGAAUGCAUCGUCGGAAAUACUUGGACGAGUAGACAAUCAUAAGAUGCCGGCGCUUGCAAUGCGCCGAGCUCAGUAAGUAAAUCUGUACACCUCAUUCCGCCGAGAGGCAAUGAGAUGGACCUCAAUAAAAGGAGUUUCAAAUCCUUCAAACUCGACCGAGACUUGGAUACGGUAACACCGUCUCGCCGCAGUUGUAAAAAUUGGAUUCCCCCAACGACUGCGGCUUCAGCUCUGAUUUCCUUUUACUUUCCAGCAGGUCGGCCAUUGAAAAAGUGGAAAGUUUGCGUCAAUUUUGUCCUCGGCGCGGCUGAAUGAAAAAAUUCGGUUGUUUUUCCGAAAGAGAGCUAGACCGAUUGUGCAGGCCGUAACUGAGCAAGAGGGGCCUCCCGUAAGAUUUGCGCCGGUCUCCAGCGAAUUCCUCGACCAGCGAUCGAGUCACAUGAAAAAGCCUGCGCGAAGGAUACAGGGAAUACCGAAGAAGACUUCACAUUAUCUCCAGUCAAAACUACGGGGCGACGACUCCCAGGUGUUCCCCUUCUCCCCCAUCGUCCGCAAGCAUUCUGGUCCGGAGGAAAGCGGUCCGUUCCUGGCCCGACACGAAAUAGUCCAAAGUAAAAAGGCUCUGUUUCUUUAAAGUGGGACGGUCAAACUUACCUUGUUGUUCCAUCGUCUAGGCUGCUCACCCGUUUCAAAGAUGGCAGUCCUUUGUGGUACCGAAGGAACUUAUCUGAAAAUUCCAAAAACCCUUGCAUUCGUUCAUAAGAGAGCACACAAGAGCGACGAGGUUUCACUGCGAGGCUUUCCUCUUCAAUUCUUUACAACAAAUUUAGUCGUGUUGACCUGCGGAGAGUGAAGUGGGUGGAGCCUUCCCGCUCGCCUCAAUAUUGUUUGGAAGCAACUUUGACCUUCGAAGUUCCCCCCAACGGCUUUCCUUGGAUGCGUCUCGCCUACAACUCGACAGCUGAUACUAAAUGCCCUCCACGAAGCUGAAGAAUGAUGUUUAGAAGCGGGAGGCUUGGUUGGAUGACACCUUCUAAUGAUAAGGUUCUUGAGUCUGCCAUCGUCAAGGAUUUGUCUGCCAAGACUCUAAGCGGGGCGCUAAAAAUGCCUUCAUUCUGAUUCCUAAAAUUAUCGCCGAAGGGUGAUAUCAGGGUUGAAGCCGCCUCGCGUGGCCAAUCAAGAUAACCCCAUGACUCCGAACUGACGUCUUUAAGCACUUAGGCUUCGGACUAGUUUUUUUGUUCCAGAGCAGCGAUUUGCGCAUCCGAGCCUCCUGCCGACAUUUGAAAUAACCUUUUGCCAUUUCGCCGCAUUCUUGAGCAAACCGAAGCUUUCAGGCGGCCAUCAUACCAACGAGCAAGUGAUUGCAAGACCUCUGGAGCCCUAAGAUUUAAUGGCCCUUCGACCUCUAAACGACCCGCCGAUUAAUUGCUCUUUUCGGUGCACAUUUGGUGACUCUGCCGAGUCGUGCGUAAAGGCCUCGUUAUGGUCUUUCAAGACCUCGAUGUGAAUGACGCCAAACUCGUUCUGGGUGUCGGGUUAAGCUUUUGUCUCUUCUUGCGGUCCAGUCCUUGAAUGUAAAGAUCUUAUCCUUUCCUAACGACCUCGACGAGAUGGAAAAUGAAGCCAGUUCUGCCUCCUUCGACCGGUGAAUAGCAUGGGCUGGUGAAUUGAAAGGUUUCUAUUUCUUUCCGAGAUUAAUGGACUUCGAGUGGGCGGUAGAAAUUGUCUUAAUGACAAAGUCGCGAGCGCAAACGAAUCUUCGUUAGAGAUACAACUGAGAACGAGCACUGAGGUUAAGAUGGUGGAAGGAGCUUUAAGGCUUUUCUCGGCCACUCUUCUUCCUUCGGCUUUCCCUUCACGCCCUGAACACGCCAAACUCCAAUUUGUGUAUUUUCUACCGAUCUUAAUGAAAAUGAUUUCUCUUUUUUCCCAUGGAGACGGAUAAUACUUUCUUUCAAAAACUUUCUUGAACUGGCAAUUUUGUUCUUUUGCCCCUUCCGAGGACCUUUGCGUUAUGAGACUUUGUUAUGCAUUGUCCUAACCGUUUAAUCCUACAGGCGAACCUUUUGGUUUAACUACACGCCAAAUGCCAAAAUUUUUUGAUUGUAGGUCGGAGCGUCUUUUUGUCAAGCCUUUCGUCAGAAGUAUUUCUUUUGCUCUUCUAAGUCGCUGAACUUGUCCAAAUUGAGCUAACAGAACUACUCUGGUUUAUGUUUCGAACGAAUUAUGCGAUUAGCUCGACUGGUAAACUGCGUACGUCGUCUGUAGGUUAGUGCAUACGGGGUUUGCCCAGUCCACGAUCGAGCGAUGUUCGAUAUGCCCAUAUUAAGCCUCAUUUAAAAUCGGCCAUGGUAUUGUGACCGGAAAUGUCGAUUUGACUCGGCCUGGGACCCGUUUGUAUUUCUUAGGACCUCAUUGAAUUGACACUGUAUGCGUGCCACCCGGUGCGAAACUCUAUUACAAUCAUUUAAUAGUUCUUGGACCAAAUAAUACCUGUGUCGUCGAAGGCAACACCGCAUUUGUCCGAUGAGCAACCACCGUAAACCCUUUCUCCGGUGGACUUCUGUGAUUGCUUGAGCGCUCUUGAGGGGCGAGGCAGCAGAAUAUUAGACCUUUCACCCUUUUCGGUAUAAAACUCGUUUUUGGAUUUUUUUUUUUUUUGCCGACUUGUUUUGCCAUUGGGUUGUCAAAUACUGCAUAAUGGGCUUUCUCCAAUCAUUUGGUAUUGCCUCGACCCCACAAACAUCUAUAAGGUCUUGUCGGUCUAACAAUGAAGGUAAGGACAUGACUCUGGUGCGUAUCACGUUGUCACGUCGGAGGACUUGCUAGUUAACCAAGGCCAGGUAUAGUUGCCGUAACACAGGUAUUUCUCGGCCUAGCUUGCCCCCUCAGAAGUUGUGCAUCAGAGGCGAUUUGAGCCAAUUCGUCUGCGUCGGUAUUAUGGACCUGAGAAAUAUGUUCAAAUGUAAUACCGUCGAAAGAUUCAGUCAAAUAGCUGGCAACCAUGUGGUAGGGUGCCAGGGUAUAACUCAUGCAUCGAAAAGACCCAUUAAGUUGGUUAAUCACAAGUUCGAAGUCGCCGAGGAUGAGGGCACGGGUUGCCCGCAAGUCAUGAAGGAUGCCAAGGCCGAUGAUGAGGGCUUCAUAUUCGGCUUGAUUGUUUGUGCAUUCAAAAUCCAGCUUGAGCAAAAAAUACCAACGAUCGUGGUUUGAGGAUUGAAUGACAAUUUCGACACCAGCCAAGGAUGAAGUACUUGAGCCGUCAAAGUACAUCGUCCAGUAGUUAUCGCGUGUUUGAACCAUGUCGAUUUCGAUAUCGGUGCCCCCAAAACCAUAGGGGGAAUUGUGUUGAGCGAGGAAAUCAGCUAAUGAUUGGCCUUUGACAGCUUUCUGGGGCACGUAUUGCAAGCUAAACUCGGACAACGCCAUUGUCCACUUCCCAAUUCGACCUUUGACAAUUGGUCGGGUGAGCAUGUAGCGGAUGACGUCGGUCUGGGUAAUGACUUAUGUGAUCGAUGGGAGCAUGUAAUGCCGAAGCUUGGAGGCGACGAAAAUACGGCGAGACAAAGUUUCUCGACGGUGGAAUAAUUGAUCUCCGGUUGAUUGAGAUCUCGAUUGAGGUAGAAAAUAGCCUGUUCUAGUCCGGCAUCGUUGUCUUGUGCGAGGAGGCAGCCGAUGGAUUCUUCAGCCGCCGAGAUAUAUAGCUUGAGAGGCUUACCGCGCCGGGAUGAGACAAAGACAGAUGGUGUCGUGAGGAAGACUUUGAUUUGCAUAAACGCCGCCUAAUGCUCAUCUUUCCACUCAAAUUUAUCUGAGUCCUUAAGUUUCAAAAGCGUAGAGAACGCUUUCAUUUUACCCGCCGAGUUAGCUAUAAAUCGGCGGAGAAAAUUUAUCUUACCGAGUAAGGACUGUAGUUGUUUCUUCAUCGUCGGGGGUGGAGCAUUAAUGAUUGCACGUGCUUUAUUUUCAUCCACGUCAAUCCCACGGUGAUGCACGAGGAAGCCGAGAAAAUUACCGGCCGACACACCGAAGGCACAUUUGGCAGGAUUCAUUUUGAGGUUGUGUUGACGCAUACAGAGGAAAGCCUAUCGGAGAUCAUCCAGAUGUGUCUGCCGAUAUUUAGAUUUAAUUAUAACAUCGUCGAUGUAGACUUCGACGAUGGUUCCAAUUAAAUCAUGAAAUAUGGUGUUCAUUGCUCGUUGGUAUGUGGCGCCUGCGUUCUUGAGGCCGAAUGGCAUGACAACCCAUUCGUAAGUGCCGAGUCCCCCGGGAAGCGAAAAACAGUCUUGUGCACAUCGACUUCGGCAAUGAAAAUUAGGUUGUACCCGGCAUGGCCAUUCAUAAAAGAUAAGAUCGCAUGAUUCGCCGCGGCAUCGAUUAACAAAUCCGAAAUCGGCAUUGUAUACUCAUCUUUGGGAGUUGCCAGAUUCAGAUUUCUGAAGUCGAUGUAAAUGUGCAAUGCACCACUUUUCUUUAAAACAGGAACGAUAUUGGCCAACCAUUCAACGUAUCGAGCUAUCCGAAUGAACCCUGCUUUCAAAAGCUGAACCAGUUCAUCCUUGAUACCGAGUUGCACUUCGGUCGAGAAUCGUUGAAGUGGUUGACGGAAAGGUUUACAUCCAGGUUUAAUACGUAACUCAUGCUCGACGAGAGUGCGAUCUAAGCCAGGCAUUUCAUGGUAGCUCCAAGCAAAACAAUCUUUGAAUUCCUCAAGCAGGGCACGAAGUUCGGCUUUCAUAGGUUGGGGAAGUAAAACACUAAUAAAUAAAGGUCGUGGGUCAUCGGCCGUCCCAACAUUAAUUUCUUCCAAGGGGUCCUUAACUUGGGGCCGAUUGUCUUCGAGCUCGGCCGAGGCAGCUUGAAUUUUGUCAAGAGAUAAGACAGAAUCAUUAUCUCAUUUGGCGAGGAACUCGACGAGGUUAGCACCCGAAUUUGGUUGCUUAGAUAUAGUAUACCAAUGAGCCAGCAGUCGUUCCAUAGUAUAUGAAAUCACGGCCCAAUGUUGUUCCCGAUCGGUGUCAAACAUUGGGGUCGGGGAUGAAGUUUGCUAAACCGAGUCUCACCGAAUCCUAGUGGAUAGUUUCGGCGCCAACCUCGAUAACUUUUUGAACAGAAAUCUGAGUCGACCAUCUUUCAUCAUUGAAACCCUGUAGGGUGAUGUAGCCGACGUGGUCAUCAUAAUACCGUGCUUGGAUCAUGUUAGCUUCGAAUGGCUGACUAUCGGCCGGGUGAACAAUGACAGAUUUUCCGUCCCAAAAAAUGAGCAUUUGAUACAAUGAUGAAGGAAUACAGCUGGUUUGAUGAAUCCAGUCGUGACCGAGCAGUGCAUUAUACUCGGUCUUGGAGUUAUGAUAAAAAAGGCGGUCAUGUGAUUACAGCCGGUAAUGUUUACCGCUAAAGGAAGCACCCAUUUAGUGUGGGAUUUGUCUCCGACGAAACUGCUCAUUGUGAUCCCGGAGGGAAUAAGUUUGUCAUUGGAGCGACGUAAUGCCUUCAUGACGUUUAUAGGCAUGAUAUUGACAGUGGCUCCACAGUCAAAAAAAACUUUGGAGACUGGAUACCCUUCGAUAUGGGCCGUUACAUACAAUGGCUUCAAAUGAUGAAGUUUGGCCGAUGAGGAGCGAGGAAACAAUUCAGCCAAAGCUGCCUUGAGAUUGUCAUCUUUUGUUGUCGACUCGACUUCAGCAAUGGUUACAAAAUCAAUGUGACCGGCUUCUUCGGCAACUACGUCUCCAUUGAGGAAAUUUGGUUGAGCUGUGCUCGACUGAAAAUCAGCGAGCAAAACAUGGACCAUAUUGAUUUCCAUGUUAUCUAAUACUGACGAGCCCAUCGGGUUACGAUCAUCUUCUUCAGCCUCUUCUCUUUCCGGGUCACCGACUGCGGCAUCUGCUUCCGUUAGAGUUAUACUAAGAGACUCCUCUGCUCCUUCAAUAGUUUGUUCCCUUGGUGUCUCUUCGGCAGCCUGUUGGUUCUGCGUAGGUGCCUCAAGUGAGUCUGAGAUCAGAAGUGUGCCUGGGAUUAGUGCCAGGAUACGAGCUUGCUCUUGGUACAUUAUACGAGCAUCCCUGGUGUCGAGAUAGGCAUCCAACCAUGCGACUCGUGUUAUUUCAUCGACCGUAAGGCCGAAGAGAGAAACAGCCAAAAAGACUUCGAAAUGGUACUGUAAAUACUGAAGGUCCUCCAUUGAGAAAUGAAGGUCGGCUGCAUCGAUAUCAGUGUAUGGGUCGACUUCAAAACCAAGGACACGAGCUUCUCGUAUGUGCUGGAACCUAGCUUUCAAUCCUGGGUCUAAGGUCUUCUGAAUAAUUCGCUUGGCAUCCGGGCAAGUUAGGACGAGAUCGAUUGUAUCUUGACAUGCUUUCGGCAAACCAUACAGAUCGUUGGCCGAAUGUUUUUUAUGAAACUCUCGCAUAUAUUCCAAGGCCUCCCCGAGGAAUGGUGGAUGUAAAUUCCGUCGAAUUUUGAUCAAAGGUUCUCGUGUGGCUGGCGGGGGCAAUUUGCUUUCAGCUUCUUGCCUGAAAUGCUCGAAGCGUGCCUUCAUUUCCCCGGGCCGAAGAAGAAGUUUGAUCCGUUUAUUAGCCUCUUCAAACGUGGUUUCGAUAUCUUGAUUGACCAACCGUUUCCCUUGAACCAACUCUGUCAUAAUCAUUGGAGAUGGUCGUUCAUCGUCGUUGGCAAUUGUUUCCUUUGGCCGCCAUUUAGGGAUCGAAGUUUCUUGGGCUACCCGUCGGCAGGCCAUGCAGUCUAUUCUUUGGUGCCGACGUUUCUGGGAUUUGGACAGUGCAGUGUAGACGCCUUUCGAAGAGUGAUAUGUAUACCAACGCUAGUCUUGAGGUUCGGGAGGUUUGAAAGUUUUUUGGCUCUGCGAUGAUUUCGAGCUGCUAGAGUUACGUAUAUAAUAAUCCUCGUCAUAAAACGGAGCAUCAAAAUCGAGGCACCGUCUGACUGAAGGUGUCUCUUCCACCCUCACUUUAAGACCAAGCCUAUAAAAAACCCCUUGAUGUUGGCCUGCGUUGAUCACCUUUUGCUGUGUUGCGGUUGUAGGUUGUUCCAUUAUAGGCGGAGAAGACUUUUUCUUUGGCUCGGUGUUGACAUUUGCUUUACAUUUGCUGCAUAAAACCGCCGUCCCACUGUCUUCAUCAGUGCUGUAAUCUGUCAUGGGCUUGACAAUAGCGGGUCCCGUUAGACCUGUAAGUGGUUUGUUCGAACGAAAAUCAGCAUUGAAACGUGGCCGAGAGUUCUGAUUCAGAGAACGUUGCGGUGUAGCGACCUUUGCUUUCCCUUUUCCUUUGUCCCUAAGUAGGCGCGCAUCUACCAUAUUUAUUGUUGCCGUGGGGAAUGGGUCAGUAUCAACACUCAUCUUCUUUUCCAAAAAUCUGAGUUUGCCGUUAUCGAUACAGCUUUGGAUGUUGUCUCGAAACACGACGCAAUUAUUUCUCGUAUGUUUGCUUGUAUUAUGGUAUUUGCAAUAUAUCUUUCCUUUAAGCUCGUCAGCCUUGGGAAUGGUAUGCCCAGGCCGAAGUUUGAUGAUCUUCGCUGAUAGCAAUUGAUCAAAAAUUGCAUCGGCCUUUGUAAUAUCAAAAGUAUAGACUUUUGACGUUUUCAUUGUUUCCUCAGGGGCCGAGCGGGUUUUGACUUCCUUAGAGUCAAUUUAAGUCAGUGCCUUGCAAACGUAUGGCUUAUCUAUGACUAUCUCGGCUGCAUCCACGCUAACACAUUCACCUUCGGCCGAUGCAUAACUGACAGUGGGAUUUUUGUAGAUCGUCUAUCUGGACGGAGCUUUCGAGAUCUUCUCUUCACGGAGCAAAUAAUCGUAUUGCUCGACAUGCUGGGCUAGUUCAUACAUAUCCCGAAAGUUUAUCGCCAAGAAUUUCUUUUUGUAUUCUACAUCAAGACCAUUCAGAGCAAGUCUGACGAACUCGACUUCAGGGAGAGGUACUCGGCACCAAUUCCUGGCUGAUUUGAAUCUGGUAAGAUAAUCCAUUGGUGACUCGUCGGAUGCUUGAGCCAUCCUUGCUAACGAGGAUACUAACACUUCCAUCCCUGGCCGAUAAAACUGCUCAUGAAAUUUCUCGACCAACUUCUCCCAGCUCUGGACAGAAUUCGGUGGGAGGUUGAUAUACCAAGCGAAUGCUGAACCGGUUAGCGAAAAGUUGAACAGUCGCUAUUGACAUCUCCGCAUUGCGCGGUGAAACGAGCCACAUGUUCCAACGAGGAUAAUGAUGAUUCUCCAGCGAAAAGGCUAAAAUCCGAGAUUUUGAAACCUCUAAGGUAUUCGAACUGUUCCACAUAAGCCGGAUACGGAUGUAUAAAUUUAGGGAACUUCGGCCCUUUCUUCAUGGCCGAAUCGAUCAUCCGUUGGACCUCAAUCAUAUCGACGGGUGUUGCCUUCGCCCGCUGGUCGGAUUCGUCUGACCUACUAUUUGAUCCUCCUCCUUUUUCCAAGUUAAUUGGUUUGAGCCGAACAGGGGUUGACUCGGCCAGUGCAAUUGGUAAUAGAUUAUUUUUUGGUGGCAAGUGCUGGGCAAGAUCGAAAGACCUACCGUCACUGACCUUGCUAACCAAUAUUUUGAGUAAUCUGGUUUGUGCCUCACUGGUAUUGCGUAUCACGUCAUGAAGUUUAUCGAUUCCUCGACUAAACGUCUGUUCAACCGUUCGAGAUUGCUCGUCAAGUCAUUUGCAAAGAAACGAUCUUGUUGGUGGAUCAGUUCCAUCACCACCAUCCUCAUCACAAUCCUCCACUAUCCUUUCAUUGAGAACGCAGGUGUUCCUGUUAGGGACUUCAAGACUGUGCGACUGACCGCCGAGAUUAACUUCCCUUUCUCGAUGAAUCGCGCUUGUAGACUCAGGUAUCACAGCGCUAAUGGGAUUCUGCGCCUGCGGAACACUUUGUCCUAUGUUUUGAAUUGGCAAAUCGGCUGUUGACUUUCCCAUAGCUGUUUUCUUUUUUACCGAUUGCGUUUCAAUUGGCAUGAACUUCGUAGUUUAGCAUUGGGUCCCACUGGGCAUGCCAAAAUAUUGACCCUAAAAACUACCAAGCCUACGUGGCGCGCAUGCCGAGUAAUCUAUAAGCUAACUACGUCCUUCGAUGAAUACGGGGCGUGCCAACUCGUCGAGCUCGAGUAAAUUUGUUGAUGAGGCGUUGGGUGCGCGGCUGACUUCUGCGUCUUGCGAUUGCGACCGAGGAAGGAACAUGUCUCGGCCUCUUGGGUUCUCGAACCUGAAGACAAGGCUACUAUUCUUACGAAGUUCACGAAUCGUCGUCGUCGGAUUCGGUCACAGUGAUGCUAUUCGUCAGAGUAAACUCACGCCGAAUCGAUACCAAAUUGUAAGGGCACAAAUACUCAAAGCGAAUAUAAGUCUUAAUAGUUAACGUGGUUCGGCCGUCUGAAUGCCGAACUUUAAAUCCCACUUGAGAGUAUCCAAUCAUAAAAUAAUUCGGCGUGCAAUGCGCCGAGCUCAGUAAACUGUAACACCUCACUUCGUCAAGAAGGCUAAUAAGAUGACCUCAAUCAAUAAGGAUUUGGAAAUCCUUCUCGACUGAGACUUGGAUAGGUAACCAACCGUCCUCGCCGCAGUGCUGUUGAUGCCAACGGAAGAUGCUGCGAGAUCGGCUGAUUCUACGGUGACAGAGUUAUCUAUGUCGACUUAAGAUAUCACCGGUUGCUUUCACAGUGCUGUUGAUGCCAACGGAAGAUGUGUCAGCGAAAAGAGAAAAUAAAAAUCUCAAAGUUGUUGAGAGAGUUUGCGCAGGGUAGUUGUGUGUUGAAUUGGAGAGGCCUUGAAUGAUGUACAACCUCCUCUAUUUAUAGCACCGGAUACCUUCAAGGUCAAGUUAAAACCCUACCCGGAUUAGGACUUCUUCUCCUGAUCAAAUACCAACUCGACCAGUCCUAUUUUCACCAUAAUUGUGAACCUAGUCCUUUAUUAAGCCGGAUUCACUUCCGGGUUAUUAAUCUUACUGAGACUCUUCAUUGCACCAGGAUUCGACUCGUCUUGCGGCAUGGCUUAACCAACCCAGGUUUGGAAACCCACAACCUAACCGGUCCAGAACUAAAUGCUGGGCCGAGAAUAAUUCUAUACUCGGCCCAAACUAAUAUUUUGGGCCCAAACAUGUAGUAAUUCUGAAAAAAAAGCUUCAACUGGAGGAGAAUGGCAAGAAAAUGUUGUUGACUGCAUUACCAGUUUGAAUAACAUGUACUUCUCCCUUCACUUUAAAUUUAUCGUUAAUUUCUAUUUUGAGUUGAAUGGGUUGCAUUUCAAAAUGACUGAAUUUCUGUAUUAUUACAGUUGCGGAGUUGCAAACUAAGUAUAUGAUAGAAUGCCAUACAUGGUUUAGACCAUCUAUAUGCAAAUUGCAAUCUGGCAUGACCUCAAGUUGUAAUUUACAGCAUAUAUCCCUCCUAUGCCCUUUCUCUUUCACUAACGCCCACACUAUCUAGGAGCUUUGAAAGCAGGUAAUCUUCUCUGCACUUCUCAUUUCUUUGAUUUCUAAGGCCACAACAAUUUUUUUGGAGGAGCAGGUAAAUUAUUUCUUCGAAUUUUUUUCUUCUUCAAUAAUUAUGAUGUUUAGUUGAUUAAAUUGGACUCAUAUUUUUAGUGUUAUUUACUCAACCUUUUUAAACAUUUCAUAGAAGUACUCAACCUAUUGAAAAUGUCACAUCUAUUACCCCAGUCAAUUUUUCAAAUAUAGAUUAUAUUCAAAAUCCACCAACUGGGUAUAUCAUUGUCAACAUUAAUAGUAGUUGCCUCUAAAUCUAAAUUUCAAGUAUAGUUUAUAUAAUAUGGAAUCUAACGAUCAAACAAGCAUUGAAUUGAAUCGAAAAUAGACACAAAUUGAAAUGACAUGAAGGGGCAAUCUCCUAACAAAGAAGAGGGUUAAGAAUUCAGAUAUGGUUUCAAGGAGCUUGUUUCUACUCAUGUGAUUUCCUCAUUCACUAAUUUUCUACUCGUAAAGCUUCCAGUUCUUCCGUGUGGAUAAUGAAGAUGUUCGUGGCAGCAUCAUGACAGCCCAUACCAUUUCAACGACCUCCAUGACCUUCUUCUCGAUGUUGGCGGCUUGAGUUGUAGGGUGGAGUUGUUGAUUUUGAGUUGGAUUUGAAAGUGAUGGUCUAAUAAGGAUGGUGGUGAUCGUUAGCUGGUGGAGGUUGUGCGUUCAUGACCUUCUAUUGAUUUUGAAGACAAAGUAACUCUAAUUAAUUUAACAGAUGUUUUAAUUGGAGCUUAAUCGAUGUGACAUUUUCAAUAGGUUGAGUACUAGUUUGAAAUGUUUAAAAGGUUGAGACCAAUUUAAAAUAACACUAAAAGGUUGUGGGGAUUUCGAUACUUAAUCUGAUUUUUAUCCCCACAAUUAUUUGAUUUUCCUUUCAUCUUUGAUUUUAUUUGUUAGGCAUUGAUGAAGUAGAUGGUAUUGCAAUAUAGUGUUCUGAAAUUGAUGACAUGUGCUGAAAUAAUCCCGAUACCAUGUUCAAUCUGACAUGCGAUGAAAUUGAUACCAUGUGCAGUGCUGCAAUAACAAUUGACGAUUAGGAAUAUGUUGUACUUUGCAAUCUGAAAUGACCUCAUGGUUCUUCAAAUGUACCAGGACAAGCAUUGUAGGGUUGUUACUACUAGGGACUGCGAUCCAAGAAAAAAUUGUCAAAUCAAAUUUACGUUCUUCUUUUUACUUGAGACAUUCUUUCUGUUUAUUCAUUCCUCUCUCAAUGAGUAACUUAUAGUUUUAAAGCGAGUUUUAACGAAAAGUCCGCAGUACUGUUCACUUUAACGAAAAAUCAACUUUGUGACACUAAAAAGUCAAACUUGGUACUAUUCAUUUUACCCUUUAUUUUGUCCUUAUCGUUAAAACUCAAAGUUUUCAAGCCAUUUUCAUUAGUUUUUCUUAGUUUUAAAUCCAAAUGGUGGAAUGGAGUGUGAUAUAAUGGAUUUGUUGUGGAUUCCUUAGGGGUUGUGACACACCCCGUCCCGAAGGAGGGCGUGCUGGCCGUCACGUGAGAGUGACGUAACCAUUUACACAGUUCGGAAGCUUUAAAAAAAAUUCCAAUUACUAAGAUAACACACCCGAGGGUGAGUCCUACUUUUGUGAAUUCUGUCAGAACACCGUUGGAUUCCUCGUGGCCACCAAAGCUCUGCUAACUUGAACCUGGAGGGGCGCAAAACAAAAUUGAGUGGGUCAGUAAAACAAAGUUUUUCGAAAACUUUUCAUUUAAAACAUUUCUAACCCCUCACCGUAAAACCUGUAUACUUUCCCAGAAAAUAGCAUAUAUAUAAACAUAUAUAUAAGCAAAACUCUCAAAUCUCAAACCUUUAACACUUUUCAGAAAUAUAUAUAUAUAUAUAUUAUAUAUAACCAUAUAAAUCUCAAAGCUUGAAUCCCAAAUCUUUAACAUUUUUCAAGAAAAACAUGCCAUGCCAUCAAUCAAAAUAUAAAUCAGGUGAAAUAAGGAAUCAAUCGGAGACCCUGCAGUUGGUCCUAUACGAUUAAUUCAAUAGCUCAAUAUCUCACUAAGCCGGAGUCACCACAGUGACCUAUACGGCCCUACUCUGCACAUCACUCGGAACUACGUAAGGUAGUCUAUACGAUGAAAGGUGUAAAAUACGCUCUAGUGCUUCUCUCAUCAUAUCAUCAGCGCGCAUAUCUAAGGUCACCCACCAGUCGGAACCCCUCUAAUGGUCUGUACGACUGGCAUGUCGGAACCCUCACAUGGUCUGUACGACAUCCACCUACUUGGAUCCAAGGCGAGCGUGCGGUGUGGUGAAUAAUAUAAGCACUAACACCUAGGGUGCAGAUUAUGAGCUCAAACAUCGAAACAUCAAUCAAUUAAAUGAAUAAUGAACUCACCUGACGUACCUGUGCCUCCACAGCACCAUGCAACAUGUAUGCAUCAUAUAUCAAUCAUGUAAUUCAUAUAACAAUUCACAUUUUCAAAUAAUUCUAUGCAUGGCAUUUUUAAAGCAUAUCUUCAUAUAUAAAUUCAUUUUCUGGGAAAAAUCAAUAGUAUAAAGGUAAUACAAAAACAAAACUGCCCACUCACCUGGAGUUCGCCCACAACUCCCUAGCAGCACCGUACAUCAAGGCGUCAUGACGAUUAGCGCCUAGAACAACAAUCAAAAUCCAACCUCAGAAAUUCUGCCGAUAGAAUACAUAACUUAUAUAAGACACGUCACUACGUAGUUCGAUCCGGAUGAUCUGCAAUUCAGAUUUCAAAUCCGUAACUUCCAGAGGUCCACAAUAUACCUCUAGGACAACAUCCUAAAAUUUCAUUACCAUCCAACGGUCGGAUCUUCGUCAAUUUCCAAAACUAAGUGACGGUUAACAUUCUAUUUUAUGAACUUACAACUUCAAUUCCGGAAGAUCCGUAAAUCGGAUUCCCAAUCCGUAAGUUCCUAUAAUCCUCAAAUAUUACGUAUUACAACGUAUCAAAGUUUGAUGACGAUCCAACGGUCGGAUCGUCAAUUCACAUUUUCACCUAACCACGAAUCGUAACCAACUUAGGUUCAAUUAUUCAAUUUACGUCCAUCAAUUAUCAAAACAGAACCUAGAACCUUAAUCACAAGCUAAUAAUGACAUUGGCGGGCCAUUGGCCACGCGCCGCCGCGCGGGCCGCCGCGGGUGGCGGUUGGCCGCCGCGGGUGGCGGUUGGCCGCCCCCGGCUCGCCGGAAAAUUCAACUAUUUCCAAAAAUUACCAAAAUUUGCAGAUUUGAAGAUCUCAAUGAGUAGAACAACUUUCAUACCUGAGACCAAUGCUAAUUUGGCCUGGAAGUGCUUCAAUUUCACCAAAACCGUGAAGAACCCUAGAAUUUGGGUGUUUCCAAUUCGACCUUCAAACUUGUUCCAACGCCUCAAUUACCUCUUGGGCUUUGUUCUAGGUCCUAAAGGAAUGCUAAAGGUGUUAGUAAUUGAAAGAAAACAUUUCAAAAUUUGGAGAAUUUAAACAAAAGGGUCGCGGCACCCGUAGGGGUGUUCUUCGCGAAAUCACAACGAAAUUCAAUGAUUCUUGGGGUGAAACGUGAAGAGGGAAGGCCUAGAUGAUGAUUAGGAGUGGUACCUUGACUCAAUUUGUCGGAAAAUUGGACGAAAACGGCGAAAACCCGCCGAUUUGGAAGCUUGGGUCGCGCGGGUCAAGGGUGACCCAUUCCUCCUGUUCCCCCGUGCACCACUCUCCCUCCUUUCCCUCCUUUCCGUCCCCUGAUUGGUCAGCUUCUUCCUCUCCCUUCUUCUGGUUCACUCUCAUCUUCUUCUUCUCCGAUUGGGCAUUUCUGCCCAGUCUCUUCUUCUUUUCUGUUUUCUGUUUCUUCUUCUCAUACACAUACACACACCAAAAACCUUUCCCUCAUCCCAGCCAUCCAUUUCAUUCAUCAAUAAAUCUGGGCCGUCCAAUUUCAUAAAAGAAUUUCUAUAUUUUACUAAAAUUAUAAUUCCUUAAAAUUCCAAAUUUCAAACGUUAAUAACUUCUUCGAUAUAACUCCAAAUCACGAACCGUCUGCGCCCACGUCCGUAACGACGAGUACUACGAGGAUAUGUCAAGAAAACAAAUCUUAGAUGGCACGACACAACGAUUAACCUCGAAUGAUGUGCGUGCCUCAAAGGGCAUUUUUGUAAAAUCCUUUAUUAAAACUUUAAAAAUUCUUAAAAUUAGGGACGGGCUGUCACAGGUUGCAAACCGAAGUUCAGGUAUUUAAAAGGUUUUAUAGCCAAAAUGAUUCCUGAGAUUUGCAUAACACAUUACUUUGGUUUCUGAGAUUGAAAAUCAAUAGAAAUGGUUCCUGAGAUUGUCCAUCCUCCAUUAUUUUGGUCAUUCCGUUAAAAACUCCGUUAAGUGUCCCGGAGCUCUUAGCCGAAAGUUUGGACAAUUUCAAAGUUUCGUAACUCAAUCGUUUCUUAACCAAAUUCAAUCCAUAGUAUAUCAAAAUGAAGAUAGGAAAGUGUAGAAUAAGAUUAUACCUAUUUAGAAACCCAAUGGUUGCCUGAGAUGGCUUGGAAAAUAGCCUGAAAAGUGAAUGGUCAGCGGGAAAACUAGAAAACUCCCCUGAAAUUGGGUAAAUUUUAAAUGUUCAUAACUUCUUCAAUAAUCAACAAAAUCGAGUGAUUCAAAAACAAAAGUCAUACUUCUCAACGAGACGAAUACAAUGGUACCUUUAUCAAUGGCUAAUUCUCUAUGGUUUGGCCGGAAAAUGUCUCAAAAGUGGCUAACUCGAGACCAAGAUAGCCACUUUCGAACCGUUUUUCGGCCAAAACACGGCGAGUUAGCCGUCAAUAAAGUUACCAUUCUCUUUGUCUCGUCAAGAAGUAUGAUUUUUGUUUUUUAAAUCACUUGAUGUAGUUGAGUAUUGAAGAAGUUAUGAACGUUUAAAGUUUACCCAGUUUCCGGCGAGUUUUUCAGUUUUCCCACGGACCAGUCACCUUUCAGGCCAUUUUCUGGCCAUAUCCGGCAACCAUUGGGCUUCCAAAUGAUAUAAUCUUGUUCUACACUUCCCUAUCUUCAUUUUGAUAUAUUAUGGGUCGAAUUUGGUUAAGAAACAAUUAAGUUACCAAGCUUUGAAAAUUGCAUAUGAGAAUCUGAUGACAAGUUAUUGUCUGGAUUACCGAAAUAAAUCAUACUUAACUGUUUAACUGACCAAUAUUCUUAAGAUUUCGUGGUUUUCUACUAUCUAGGGCCCAUCUCAAAAUUAUCUAUUUCGUAUCGUCUUGGUUACAUACUAACUCCUAUCUGGUAAAAAAGAUGAGGUGGGGGCGAGAAUGUUAACGGAGAGUUAGACUGAAAUGUUAAUUUUAGGCUUGAAUUCUAAUAGACAUCACUAUGAGGGUUUAAAUUCUAAUUUUCUUCACCAUGGGCUAUCUUCCAAUUAUCCUAUCAUCAUGAGACUGUUAAUCUAAUUUAGCUUUUACAUUUAGUGAGCAUUAUUUUUAAUACGGUUUUCUUUGUUUAGAUUCUCAUAGAAAACUCGCUGCAAAAAAAAUAUGGGUUUCGAGUUGGGUGGUUGAGAAUAUGGACUGAUCAUUUUAUUGCAGAUUUUGAACCAUUAGUAUCAAGGUGAAAAAAUGACCAACAAGAGGUGUUGGCAUUCAAUUUUAAAAUUUUCGUCAACAUGACAGCACUAGAUAAUUCCCAUUACUUAAAAAUAUUGUGGUGUUUCUGACCGAAAGCUUGCAAGUAUCUCUAAAAUUGAUUUAGUUGGUUUCUCCUGACCACAAUGCAGGACUUCUCAUGACCUUUUUUUUUAUGUAGAAGUUCGUUUCUAAUCAAACCAACUUUUGAUUUAAUAGCAGGUGGGAUCUUAGAUAGGAUAAAUGUCAAAGCAACAUAGAAGGAGAUGAAAAAUUAGUUCAAAAGUUGUUUUUAUUUCUUUAAACUACUAAGACAUGAGCCUUAUUAUGUAAAUGUGCUACUGUCGUUGCACCGAAACAUAAUAGUCAGUUUAGUAAAUUUCAUUUUUCAUAUUUAUAAAAACAUGUAUCAAAUCACAAACGUUCUACAUAGAUGAAUGCAGUAAAGCUCUAUAACUCACACGUAGAGCCCUGUGAUUAAAAAAAGGUCUUUUGAAUGUGUGUGAGUGCAUGCAAAAAUGCUAGUAUGGUCUAAAAAAUGGUCUCUUUAACUAGCAUUUUCCUUAUUCAGCUCAUAUUGUAAGUUGUAACUAUUUCCUACUUGGACUGUUUGAUAGAUGAUUAUUAUGUGUGGGAUAUUAUUAUUUUUAAAUCGUAUAUAAAGUAGAUAAUAUUGGAAUGUUGUUAGAUUCAUGGAAGAAAAUGCCGAUAAUAUCGGCGAAAUAUCGCCGAUAUUAUCGGUUUUUCGGGUGAUGGAUAUUCUAAGUGGUAUCCGAAUGGUUUUUAGCCAAAUAUCGCGAUAUUAUCGAUAAUAUCGAUAAUAUGGCGAUAUUUUGGAAAUAUCGGCGAAAUUUUUUUGAGUUUGGUGCAAUCGGACUCCGAGGCGACGUCGGAGAAGAACGCUGGAGACGGUGUGCCUAUUCCCGGGCCGAUUUCGUCCCAAAAACCUUGCAAAAACACGAAUUUUAACAUCAAUUUCACAUAUAAACUUCAGAUUUCACGCAUGCAUAAACGAUUCAACAUAUGUGAAGUCGGUUUAGGGUUUAGGGUUUCAAUGGAAUCUCACCUGACGAAGACGAAGACGAACCAGAUGACUGAACGUGAUCCUUGCUCAGUGGCGCACCGCCAGAGACGACUGAGCCAACUCCGACUUCGCCAGAGCCACGAUCAACGGCGAAGGGAGAAGAGAGAUCGAGAGAUCUCUGUGUGUGUGUGUGUGUUUGGGAGAAGAGAGAUCGGAGAUCUCUCUUUGUAUGUGGGUGUUUGGGAGAAGAGAGAUCGGAGAAGGGAGAAGAGAGAUCGGAGAAGGGAGAAGAGAGAUCGGAGAAUGGAGAAGAGAGAUCUCCGAUCUCUGUGUGUGUGUGUGUGUUUGGGAGAAGAGAGAUCUCCGAUCUCUGUAGAUGGAGGGUGUGUGCGUGUGUGUGUGUGUGGAAUGAGGGAGAAGUGUGUGUGUGUUAUCCGAGAGAAAGAAAAAAAUACAUUGAGGGUGUGUGUGUGUGUGUGUUUGUGGCACACGGUUUGACACAUGGUUUUGUAUAAAACCAUGGUUUUGUGUGUGUGUGUGUUCACGUGUAUGGUUAUGUGUGUGUGUGUGUAUGGUUAUGUGUGUGUGUGUGUUAUCCGAGAGAGUUUUGGCACAUGGUUUUGUAUAAAACCAUGGUUUUGUAUAAAACCAUGGUUUUGUGUGUGUGUGUAUGUGUGUAUGGUUAUGUGUGUGUGUGUUAUCCGAGAGAAAAAAGAAAAAAACUUUGAGGAUGUGUGUGUGUGGCACACGGUUUUGUAUGAAAUAAUUGGAAGUGACUUUGCUUAGAAGAACCAAAUAUUCUGUCAGAGAAGAACCAAAAAAUCUGCUUACUUUAUCUUCUUCUCCACGUGAAGACCAAAUUCUGUCAGAGAAGAACCAAAAAUGCAAUGUAUAAAGUGUAAAAUAUUGUACUAAUUCAUUAUAUAUAAAUGAUUAUGGUGUGUUUAGACUUCUUUCAUUAAUUACUACAUAUUUUCUACACUCACAAUGUUUGUCAGCUCGCUAUAUAAUCAACUUGAUAAUGUUAAAUCCAUCAUGCAAUGCAUUUCCUUCCAAUUUUUUGUGAUAAACUAAUAGAUAAUUGACUAAAUAAACAUCCUGCAAAGUUUCAAUAAAAAUUUCCAAGUUUUUCUUACAAUUUCCGUGGUUUCCAUGUAAUUUUUAUCGAUAUCGAUAUUAUCCCAAUAUUUCCAUCGAUAUUUCCGUGUUUUCGGACUACCGAUAUUUCCGAUAUUUUCUUCCUUGGUUAGAUUCACCUCAAUGUCUUAUUUCCCCACUCACAUACUCUCACCCACCACAAAAGUUAAAAAACUGAAAUGUUAUUUUUUCACCCACUAUUAUUUCUAAAGUAACCUCUAAUAAGCUCAACCAAGCCUUCACUCACCACCAAGGCCUCCCUUCCCGAUUUUUAUUUUGGUUCGAGUUUCAGAAUUUGGUCUUUUCCCAAUUUGCAACUCUCCUUCCUUCCCUCUAUCCAGACUCAACGCAACCCCAUUUCCUCCCCCCUUUCAAUAUUUUCUUCAUUUACCAUUGCUUGUUUGCUUAUUAAAAAGCUGGAAUUUAUUUUAAAAGUAGUUUGCUUUUUUUUAUUUGAACUCAUAUAACUUUAUUUUACACUUAUUUUAUAUUCUACACUCAUUUUAUUUUUAAUUAAACUAUUAAUAUCUCUUUAACCCUAAUUUACUACCUAAACUAAACUACACUCACAAACCCAAUUUAAUAUGCAAAUUGAGCUUUACACCCAUUUCAAAAUAAAACUCAAAAUCAAAGCAUAUGUUCUCUUCUCUAACAUUCUUUCCCACGUCCAUCGUCUUUCCUUUUUAAUUCUUCAUGAUUUAAUAGAAAUUGAAAUUGAAAUUAAUAAAAGUUGUGAGAAUUAAUUUAUCUUUUAGGUUUUCAGGAGAACGGCAUACAACCAUCCUUUAUGUGAUUACCAUGUUGGAAAAGCUUGAUCUUUUGAGGCUAAGUUCCAUAAAGGAGUGGGUGAUCACCGUAUGAGUUGGAAAAAACUUGAUAACAUCCUUUUUGCCCACUUUCUGAUGCUUUUAUGAGAAAUUUGAGGCGCAAGAAAUUCAAGGUUAUAGAACUGGAAGAUUGAGCAGCCCAACUUGACCACCUCUCGAACUCUGAAACAAAAUUGGCGGAUGAGGAACUUGCUUGAGCAGAAUAUCAAGCUCCUCAAAAACCCAUCUGAAUUAUGAACGACCUUCUUUAUUAAGCUAUUACCUUCUUGAAGUAAUUUGGGAUUAACUUUUGCUCCAAUUCAACACCUUUUUAUGGCUUCUUCAUCAUAUAAUUUAUGUUUAGAUUUUAGUUUGGAGCCAACUGAUAUUCUAAUCAUUCCUGGCCACUACCCAGUUGAUGGGUUCUGACCGUGGCAGGUUCAGCUUGGAGGUGGGGGUGACAUGAUUUUUCUUUAUUUUGUUUUUUCAUAUUAUUUGUUAUUUUGGUUAUUUUAAUCUUUAUUUUUUAAUUCUGUUGUCCAAAAAGCUUAUUAGCGGGGACUAUUGUUACCACACGUACAAUUUUAACAAAAAAUAUUAACUGGAGCUUUACAGAUGUGAUUUUUAAUAUGUUGAUUACUUAUUUGAAAUAUUUAAUUAAAAAUAUUAAGAUUAACCUGAAAUGACACUAAAAGGAUAAGAGUUAUAUGUACUUAUAUAUUUUCUUUUUUAUCGGGUGUCUUUGUUAUGUCAGACCAAGAAAAAACAUGUUUGGAUGAUUAUGUAUGUUGAACAUGGACGCAUUUUGAGGACAAUUAGCGUGUCAAGACAAAUUUUGGUACCAAUUACAAGUUGGACGAAUAUGAUUUGAAACGAGGAAAAUUAGCGUGUUGGACGCAUAAUUACUUGUUACCCUUUUUUUUUUUUGGGUCAAAGGAUAGAAAUGUAUUAAAAGUCAAAUACGAAUGAAAACAUUUGCAUCUUCAGCUAGAAUAUUAAACAAAAAUUGAGGUCCUAAUACAUCCCAACCAUAACUCCCACCAUGCUUAAGAACGUACGCCGCCACCAUAUGGGCUGCACGAUUGUAUUGUCGAGGGGUAAAGAUAAACUUCACCGAUUGGAAUGACUGCAUUAUAUUCCAAAUAUCAACUAAAUAUACCUCCAGCAACACAUCAUCUUUUAAUUCUUUCUUGAAUUCCAAGUUUCUAUAUUUAGCUUUAUCAUACUUUGCUUCAUCUUACACAGUAGGUCGGAAAAAGUGAGUAUGAUUAUAUACCAAUAUAUUAAAGGAAACUUUAACGAAAAGCUCUCGAUACUGUCAACUUUAACGAAAAACCAUAUUUUUACACUAAAAAGUCAAUCCUAGUACUAUUCACUACCCUUUAUUUUGUCUUUAUCGUUAAAAUUCAAAGUUUUCAUUAGUUUUCCUUAUAUUAAACUCAUAUAAGAAUCACAUUUCUACAGUAAACCGGAAAAUUUGAAUGAAAUACCAAUUUAUUGAAUUUAUGAGUUCAAUAUAUUGGACACAUGACUUCAAUAUAUCAAACUCAUAAAUGUGGUACAAAUAUAUAUGGAGUAUGUCAUACUCCAGGAACCAUAAAUUUUUUGUUGCUAACAUAGAUUCAUAGGUCUUAUAAGUUGCAAGUCAUUUCCAUCCUCUAUAAAUGUUUGUUAAGUUAAUUGUGCAGUACAGAAGUAGAUAUUUCGGGUCACUAUGGGCAAUAAAGAGGCAGCGCAGCGCAUCAAGGCAACAGGCAAAGUCUUGAAGCAUAGAAAAAUCAAAGGUAUCAAUAGCCAAUGUUCAACGUUAGUUGCCAUUGCUGUAACCAAACCCAGUAAGUCCGAAAAAAGGGAGAACAAAAAAAAAUCCCUUAGCUACAUAGAGUUCCUGCAUUACCAACAAAAGAACAAUUUUAAGAUUAAAAAAAAAAGAUGUGAUCGUAAUUCUUUAGAUUGAAAAUAAUAUUAGGGGAAAAUUAGGUUCGCAUCCUUCUUUUUGUUACUACAUUGAUUAAAAUCCUAUUCAUUUUAAAUUUUUUAUCAAGGUCCUUGUGUAUUAAUAACAUCAUUAAUUAUUUGAAUAAUAAAAUAUUUUUAUUUUUAAAUAUAUUCCUUUAGUGUUAAAAAUGUUACGAUUAGUAUAUUUAUACUUAUGGCUAAAUUUUUUUAUCAUAUAUUUUUAUUUUUAGUUUGUACCUAUUUUUAAUUUGCAAAUAUUUUUUAAUUUGUACCAAUUUUCUUUUCAUUUUUAAUUUGUACCCAUAUAUUAGUUUCUUUUUGUGCCCAUAUUUUUUAAAGUUUUAUUUGUGUUUGUACCCAUGUGUAUACCAUCACGUGACAUUGUAUAUUUAAUCAAUGAUAGAAAAAUUACAUUUGGUAUAUUUAUGUUUUAUGCCUAAACUUUGUAUCAUAUAUUUAUAUUUUUAGUUUGUACCCACUUUUAAUUUGCAACAUUUUUUUUAAUUUGUAGUAUUUUUUUUUAGUUUUAUUUUGUACCCAUGUCUUAAUUUCAUUUAGCGCCUAUAUUUUUAAAAAUUUAUUUGUACUCAUAAUUUUUAAUGUUUUAUUUGUACCCUCAUUUAUUUAUAAUGUACCCAUUCUUCUUUAUUAAUGUACCACUUUGUUAUAUGUGAAAUGUACCAAUUUUUUUGUAAAAUGUACCAAUUUUUUUAGGGCAAAAGACUGUUUACUACCCUGAAGUUUUAUGGUUUUCAACAUUUAGUACAUCAAGUUUUUUUCGUCUCAGAGUCAUACCUAAAGUGUUAAUUUUGGGACAGUCUCAUACAUCUGUUAGUCAAACUGUUAAAUCUGCCGUUAACUGAUGACGUGGUGCCCAUGUGGACAAUGACUGGACGCCACGUGUCAUUAAGAGGUCCGCGUGGAUUUUUUUUUUUUUUUGAGAAGGGGUUCAAAAAAAAAAAAAAGUAGUGGUUCCUAAAACUGCAGCAACCAUGGCUUUAUCUUCAUCAUCCCAAACCCCUCAUCCUAAACCCAUCUUAAUCUUCAUCUCCAAAAUCCAAAAAAAAUCAACAACCCUACAAAAAUCGAGCUAAAACUUUCAAAACCUAGAUCAAAUCUCAGCCCCAAAUACCCCCUAAACCAUGAAAAAAAAAUCAAACAACAAAGAAAUCUGGAAAAUCCAAUAAAAACCCAAAUCCAAGUUUCUGUCGAUCCGCACGCAGAGCCAUGAAGAUCAGAACUUUGAAGCUCCGAGAGGCCCACGAGCAGCGACGGGUGGCCGUCGUACUGAUCGGUGCUGUGGGACCAGUAGGCCUACCAAGUCGUGACGACGUCCUCCUCCGACCCCACAAUCACCAUCCACGACUCUCUUAUCCUGUCCAGCCAUCCCAAGCUCAUCCGUCACCGCUGCGACAGCGUCACGGCUCUCACUCUCAGCCCCAAUUCCACCUGCCUCACCUCCAGCUCCGUCAACCACUUCGUCAAGCUGUUUCCUGGUCAAUAUCUCCCAACCAAGCAAAUAAACAACACCCAGAUCUGAAUUUCCAUCCAAAAUCAAAUACAACAAAUUAGGGUUUCGUAAUCUGAGAAAUUGGGAUCUGAGAUUUGGGUAUAACAAGGUGAAAAAUAACAAAUUCAUAAUAAAGUUUGAAGCUUUUAAAUAUACAAAUAUGCACAAGAAUGUAAAUGGCAGGUUAAUAGUACAAGGACCCAUAUAUUCAAAUUUUAGAUAGAGAAAGAGAGACUGUGAGAGAGGGGAGAAAAGAUAGGAUAAAGGAGAGAGAAAACUUACUCAAGUGGGUGUAAACGGCUCUUUAGGGUUUUGCCCUUCUGGCGAGAGAGAGAGGAGAGAGAAACCUAAGAGAGAGAAAGAGAGGAAAGAGGAAAGAGGAGAGGAGAAGAGAGAGGAGAGAGGGGAGCGAGUGGUGGAGAUGGAAGUUGGCGCGGGCGAGGGAGCAAGGGGCUUACUGUUAAGGUGUACAAGGGAAAUAUGACUAAAUAAAAACCAACUACUAGCAGCAUUACUAGCUAAGAUAAAGUGCUAAUGUGAGAUUAAAUGUAAAUUACACAGCCAGAGCAUAAAUAUCCUAGAUGCAGUCAAGCAGGACAAGUACUAGAUAUAGAUAACACCCAAAGGUGAUCCUACAUUUAUGAUGUUCUGUCAGAACCACCGUUGAAGUCCUCGUGAGUCACCAAAAAAAACCCAAACCAAAUCCAGUUUGUCCCCCCUUUCCCCACCAUAAACCCAAUCCCUUGCAACCCAGAAAGAAUAAGGAGGAAGAAGAAGAAGAAGAAGAAAAGGAAAAAAAAAACAAAAAAUGGAAACCGAGUUCGUCCGUCCCUCCCACCCCACCUGCAGAAGAAGAAGAGAGAGAAGGAAAAAAAAGGGUAUGUCCCCCCCCCCACCCACACCCAACCUGCAGAAGAAGAAGAAGAAGAAGAGAGAAGGAAAAGCAAAAAAAAAAUGACACCCAGUUCGUCCAUCCGCCCCCGCAUACCCACCCACCCUCUUCCUUCCACAUCCAUUCCCCCCAUUUUCCCGAUUCCACCUCAACGGGAUCUAGUUUUUUUUUUUUGGGUUACAGGUAGUGGGUGCAAGGUUGGGUGCAGAGGGCGGGUAGGAAGGUGGGGAGGUUGGGUGCAGGGAGAAGAGGGGGUGGGGAGUGGGGAAGACAAAUUGGUUUUUUUUUUUCUCUCUCUCUUCUUUUUUCUGGGUUGAAGUUGUAGGAAUGGGGAAGAAGAGAAGAUGGGGAGAAGAGAGAGAAGGGGGGGGGAAGGGGACGAACUGAUUGUUGGUUUUUUUUUUUUUUUUACUUUGCUUUAUUAUUUUAAUAUUUAAAAAAUAUUAAAUGAUUUUUUUUUUUUUUAAUAGAAAAUGGGCCCUGGAUCAAGCCACGUCAGCAUUUAACUGAGAAAUUCACGCCAAGCUAAUGGAAGGUAUAACAUUGGCACAAAUUCAUAAGAUGAGAUAUGACAUUAUCAAUUUUAAAAGAUGAGGUAUGAAAGUGUCGUGACACCAAUAGUUGAGGUAGUUUUUUUUACUUUACCCUAAAAAAUAUUUGCAAAUUAAAAAUAGGUACAAACUAAAAGUAAAAAUAUAUGAUAAAAAAAAAUUUAGCCAUAAAUAUAAAUAUACUAAUUGUAACAUUUUUCACACUAAAAGAGUAUAUUUAAAAAUAAAAAUAUUUUAUUAUUCAAAUAAUUAAUUAUGUUAUUAAUACCCAAGGACCUUGAUCAAAAAUUUAAAAUGAAUAGAAUUUUAAUCAAUGGAGUAAUAAAAAGAAGGAUGUGAACCUAAUUUUCCCUAAAGAAUUAUUCCUCAAUCCACUAUGUUUCGAAUUCAAACAUCUUCAUCUCUAGUGUAAAUUAAAGUAGUAAUAUUAUUUUAUUAUAAAAAAAAGAUAACAUUACUCUUUUUAUAAUAAAUUAUUAGUGGCUUCAUCAAAUUAUUAUGCAUUGUAAUUUAUAUAUGUCAACCAUUUACCUUCACACUUAAUGGUGUUACAACAUGACGUUAACAUUCAACAUUUAAAUUACAAAAAAUGUAAAUCAUACUAUAUUCGUCAAAGUUUAUAGUUCAAUGCUACGUAAUAAUACCAAUAAGGUUAUACCUAACAACAUAGAAUGAUAGUGUUAUUAUUGCAAUUAGAUUAGUGCUACUUUGCCGACACCUUUUUGUUGGGUUUUUUGGCUCAAAAUUAGGAUGAUGCAAUAAAUUAGGUUUGUGUUACCUAUUUGGUUUUGGUGUCCUAUUUGGAUUUGGUUUUGACUUCUUAGUUAGUUUCCUUGGUGGAGAGAUUUUUUUUAGUUACCUAUUUGAUUAGGAUUUGGAUUUAUUUCCUAUUAGGAUUCUUAUUGUAACCUAAGUCCUAUGCACUAUAAAUAGGACCUUAGGGUUAGUGUAUUUGGUGUGACUCAUUCGUGUGGCAAUUUGGUGAGAGUCAAUUUGUGAGUUUGUGAGUUAAAGAGCAAUUUCGGAAAAUCUUCUUCAUUAGUUUGGGUUCUCUACUCGUUUGGUUUACGGUUUGUAAUUUGUGGGAUUUGGGUUGUGAGAGUUUAAAACACUCUUUUGUAAUCUCUGUUUGUUUAGUGAAAUUCCUCGCUGUGCUUCGCUCGUGGACGUAGGCUUUACGCCGAACCACUUAAAUCUCUUGUGUUAGUUUGAGAUUGUUUAUUUUAGCUUUCACCUACGACAUUGAUAUUGAUACUUUGUUAGAAUUCGCUUCCGUUUGUGAAUAAAAGUACAACAAGUGGUAUCAGAGCCCAGGUUUCAGCUUGGGCUUUGCUUGGCAAUCACUAUGAAGCCUUAUGUGCCAUCGGUGAAAGUUGAUAUUGAAAAGUUUGACGGCAAUGACUUUGGUAUUUGGCAAUUGAACAUGCUUGCUUUGUUAGUUCAACAAGGGCUUUUGAAAACACUAAAGGGUGUGAAGGCUUUGCCGAAUUCGUGGACUGAUGAAGAAAAAGAAGACGUUAUGGAACAGGCACUUAGAGCAAUCAUGCUGACUUUAUCAAAUGAAGUCUUGCAUAAAGUUGGUAGCAUCAAAUCUGCACCGGAGUUGUGGAUAAAAUUGGAGAGCUUGUAUAUGACCAAAUCCCUUGCUAAAUGGUUGUAUUUGAAGAAAAGUUUGCAUACUCUUCGUAUAGAUGAAGUUACAUAACACAUCCCGACCCGGAUUGUCCACUGGGACUCCAAAUCGAGUUGUGCUGGCCAACACCUGGAAGGUGACGAUGCCAUAAAGUGUGGUGAUGUGGAAUAUGUGAAUAAAUUUAAACCUAAAAAUGCAUAAACAUGAGAGUGCGCUGUGAGCAGGAAUGAACACAUUUCACACGUGACAUUAGAGCAUAAGUAAAGUACAGUAGACUGGAUUGAAAAUCAUACCGUUAAAGGUAAUCUCCAUUACCAAGACUUGCCACGAAUCCUUAUCGAUACGAAAACUCUGCUACUAGAACCUGGAGGGAUAAAAACAAAAGCGAGUGGGCCUGGAUAUAAAGCCUUAAUAAAGACCUUCUAAACGAUACAACCCUUUGUUGUAAUACCUGUAUAGCUUCCAAGAAAUCAUACUACAUAUAAAUAUGAAGUCAAAUGUAAAUCAACAUUAAAUCCAAGAAUAAUCCAAAAUCACUACAUAUCGGCAACAACAUAAUAAAAUCAGGUGCUCAUCAAUCUAUGAUAACCCACGAGUCGGAGUUGCCUAACGCAACCUGUGCGAUUCAUAAAUCAAUCUAUGAUAGCACAUGAGUCGGACUUGCCUAACGCAACAUGUACGACUCAUAGGCAAUUUGUACGACAGUGUCGAAGUUGCCUAUUAUUGCAACCUGUACGACAGUGUCGGAGUUGCCUCCUAUUGCAACCUGUAUGACAGUGUCGAAGUUGCCUAUUAUUGCAACAUAUACGACAGUGUCAGAGUUGCCUCCUAUUGCAACCUAUAUGACAGUGUCGGACUUGCCUAUUAUUGCAACUUGUACGACAGUGUCGGAGUUGCCUCCUAUUUCAACAUGUACGCCUAUUAUUGCAACAUGUACGACAGUGUCGGAGUUACCUCCUAUUGCAACCUGUACGACAGUGUUGGAGUUGCCUAUUAUCACAACCUAUACGAUAGUGUCUGGAGUUGCCUCCUAUUGCAAUAUGUACGACAGUGUCAAAGUUGCCUAUUAUUGCAACACGUACGACAAUGUCGGAGUUGCCUAAAACACUAAUAUAGUCAUGCCAUAACUCAAUCAAUUCAAAUAACACCAUAAACUUACCUGAACUUACUUGUACGUCUCGCGUUCACCUUAGUACUUCAAGGCAUUCACAACAAUUAUAUGUAGGUAAUAUGCAUAUGGUUAUACCAUGAUGCAGUAUAAAACUCAACCAUAUCAUAGUAUUUUAGAAUAUAUAUAUAUAUAUAUAUGUAUAUAUGACAUGGCAUAAAAUGCAUAAAUCAAUUUAGAAGCGUUUGUGGAACUAUCAAUUAUAUACAUACGAUAAAAAAGGAAAAAACCCACUCACCUGAGGUCCGUGCUACAACUCCCUAGCACGAAUAUCGAGACAUCACUAACGAUCCUCACCUAGAACAAUUAUUUAGUCCCGUCUCAGAACUCUUAUCAAUAGAACAUAUAACUUACGUAAAACACAUCCCAAUGACGUUCUAGAAUAAUUCGAGACCCAUUGACCAAAAGUCAAUCGUCGGUCAAAGAUCAACAAUAGGGUCCACAACGUUACGUAAAUUGAUCCGAAAGAUCCGCAUCUCGGAUUUAUAUUCCGUAAUUUCAAAAGAUCCACAUUGUGCUUCUAAAACGUCAUACUAAAGUUUCAUUACGAUCCAACGGUUGGAUCUCCGCCAAUUGCCAAUUCAAGCACCAGUCAACGUUUUAUUUUACGAACUUACAAAUCUAAUUUCGGAAGAUCUGUACUUUGGAUUCCCGAUCCGUAAGUUUUUAUGGUCCUCAAACAUUAAGUACUAUAAUUUAAUUAAGUUUAGUGACGAUCCAACGGUUGGAUCGUCGGUUACUAUAAUGUUCAAGCGGCGGACCUUAACGGAACUAGAUUUGUAAGGGGUACCUCGGUCUACGCGUCGCCGCACACGCUGCCGCAGGUGGCGGUCGACCGCCCCAACUUGCCGGAAAAUUCAACUAUUUCUAAAAUUUACCAAAAUUUACAAGAAUGAAGAUCUCAAAGAGAGGAACAACUUUCAUACCAGCCACGAAGUCCAAAAAUAGACGGAAGAUGGUCAAUUUUGCCCACAAAACUGAUGGGUGCCUAAAGCUUCAUGGUGUCGAUUCGUCGUCUACGGUGGUCCAACGGGGUCAAGGUUGGUCAGAAUUUUCUCCUGGGAUGAUGGGCUAUAAAGCCCAAGUGUUGACAUUGGCCAUCGCUUUGCCGAUUCGCUGAAAAAUUGAAAAUGGUGGCCGGAGCACUGUUGAUUUUCGUGGCCUCAAACCGCCAUAUACCAUGGUUAAUCAAGGUGGUUCUUGGGUGGGUUUUGUAAAGGGGAAUGAGAUCUUCAAGAUGGUGGUGGUGGCGUCGAAAAACUCCACCAGAGUUGGUCGGAAUCGGCCUUGGAAAAUGAGAGGUCGCAGAGGUGUGGGUGAUAGGGAAUCUGGGAGCUUUCUCCCUUUUAUGUGAUGGGUCAUUUGUGCCUAAAAUUUGAUUGGGCUACUUCCUUGAAGGAGUUAAAUUAAUUUACAAAUUGAAAUAUAAAUUAAAAAUUUCAAAAGUCCAUAACUAUACCGUUAUAAUCCGGACUCGCAAAUGGCUUUCGCCUAUACGUUCGUACCAAUAAGUACUACAAGGAUACGCUAAAAGAAAAAGUCAUACGUUCCUCUAGACGAUGGUAAACGAAAGUGAAAGUCCUUGCCUCUAGGGCAUUUUUGUAAAUUCACACUUUUAAAACUAAUAAAAAACGUCAAAUUAAGGGUGUCACAGUACAUCAAUUCAUAAGCAUGUUGAUGAAUUCAAUUUACUUAUGAUGGAUUUGAAAAGUGUGGACGACCAAAUAAGUGAUGAGGAUUAUGCGAUAAUUUUUUUGUGUUCUUUAUCUCCUUCGUAUGAACACUUUGUCGAUACCAUGCUAUUUGGUAGAGAAAGUCUUAGUUUGGAAGAUGUUAAAGUCGCUUUGAAUUCUAAAGAACUAAAGAAUAAAGUGUCUAACACACAAGAUGGAGCUUUGGUAGUUCAAGGAAGGAAUAAGGAAAGGAGCAAACUUGGAAAGAACACUUGUAGCUAUUGUUAUAAGGAAAGUCAUUGGAAAGUAGAUUGCCCUAAACUCAAGGGCAAAAAGAAGUUGUUUGAUAAGUCUUUUGCUAGUGUUGAUGCAAACAUUGCAGAAGAUAGUUGUUCUGAACUCCUCUAAAGGUUAUGUGAAGAGGUGGAGCUUGGUACUUAAGCUAUUUGGGUGGAGUGCAAUUCGCACUUUUUGUUCGUAUGUUCAAGCUUUUGCUUGGAUUUUGUUUUGUAUUUGUUAGUUUCCGUAAUGGAAUUUGUUGGAAAAGGUGUUGGAGGAAAUUUCAAGUUUGAAGACGUUUGGAAUUUUUGAGUCUAGGUGGAGAUCAGUUUCGAAAGAAUUUGGUGCAUGUUUGUGUUUGUAUUUUGGUAUCCCAAAUGUGAAGUUUGUAUUUGAUUUGGAAGUUUGCUAAUUUCUCCGAGGUGGAGAUUGUUGGUUUUUUGGCUCAAAAUUAGGAUGAUGCAAUAAAUUAGGUUUGUGUUACCUAUUUGUUUUUGGUGUCCUAUUUGGGUUUGGUUUUGACUUCUUAGUUAGUUUCCUUGGUGGAGAGAUUUUGUUAGUUACCUAUUUGAUUAGGAUUUGGAUUUAUUUUCUAUUAGAAUUCUUAUUGUAACCUAAGUCCUAUGCACUAUAAGUAGGACUUUAGGGUUAGUGUAUUUGGUGUGGCUCAUUCGUGUGGCAAUUUGGUGAGAGUCAAUUUGUGAGUUUGUGAGCUAGAGAGCAAUUUGGGAGAAUCUUCUCUGUUAGUUUUGGAUUCUCUACUCGUUUGGUUUAGGGUUUGUAAUUUGUGGGAUUUGGGUUGUGAGAGUUUAAAACACUUUUUUAUAAUCUCCGUUUGUUUAAUGAAAUUCCUCGCCGUGCAUCGCUCGUGGACGUAGGCUUUACGCCAAACCACGUAAAUCUCUUGUGUUAAUUUGAGAUUGUUUGUUUUAGCUUUCACCUACGACGUUGAUAUUGGUACUUUGUUAGAAUUCGCUUCCGUUUGCGCAUAAAAGUACAACACUUUUUACACUGUUAAGGUAUACUACAAUUACAUUACAAGAUCAUCGACAGCAUUGAAACGCAAUCAAAGAGUUUUUUUGGAGAAAUUAGGUUCUCAUCUUUCAUUUUGUUACUAUAUUGAUUAAAAUCAUAUUCCUUUUCAAUUUUUGAUCAUGGUCUUUGGAUAUUAAUAAUUAAUAACAUCAUUAAUUAUUUUAAUAAUAAAAUAUUUUUUUACUUCUAAAUAUAUUCAUUUAAUGUUUAAAAUGUUACAAUUAGUAUAUUUAUAUUUAUGACUAAAUUUUUUAUCAUAUAUUUUUUGUGACGACCCGUCCCUAAUUUUCCUAUGUAAUUUCUCCCCGAGUAUGUGUAUUGACGAUUAUGCCCUAAUUGGCAAGUGACGUGGACAUAUUCUUAUCGCUUUCAUUUUUACUUUUCGCUAUUGCAUAUAAAUUGUACACGUCGUUGCGGGUGUACGUAAAUUUUUAUCAGUGCGAAAACACUAUCCCGGAUAGAUUUUCGAUACUCUUUUCAGUAGAAAAUCUAAAACCAUAUCCCUAGUUUUUACCUAGCCCAUCCCUUGCACCCUCCUCCAUUAUUCACUCUCUCACCAAUCACAUCUUCCCCUCAUUUUUGUCCCCCAAUCAGAAAAGAGAAAAAGGAACCCUCUUUCUCUCGUUUCCCUCUCUCUCUCUCUCCCGUAUGCUUUCUCUCUCUGAAAAACCUUCAAACAAUCUUCAAAGCUCACAUAUUGAACCCAAAAACCGCACCAUUAUACUCCUCUCAUCUUCACGAUCACAACCAUGUUCUUGAAACCUGGUUUAGACGAGUUUUGACUCGUUAACUCGUGAGGUCUGACUCAGCCACACUAAGUUCGACGUGUUUUCGAACGAGUUAGGACGUUUUGAAACUUGGGAAAGUUUCUACACGACGUUUUAAAGGUCCUAGGCUUGUUUUGGAAGAAGGUCGAAGUGAAACGACCGAGUUUCAAAGAAUUCACUUUUGGCCGGAACUUUCGAGGCUUUUUCUGGCGAUCUCUGUCCACUUUUUGGACUCCAAACAGGUAUAACCCGAUUCUACUCUUCAUUAGCUUCAAAUCCAUAAAUAGUGCGUCGAAAAUGGUUGAGAAAUGAAGAAGAAUAGUGAAUUCAAAAAUUUUCCAGAAAUCUGGCAAAAAACCGAGUUGCAAACGGCGAUGGCAAGGUUUAUCGAAGAAGGAGACGAAAUAUUCCAUCAGAGUUGAUAGAAUAUUCCUGACAACGUUAGGUAACGCCGUUAAACGUCUGUUAGCUUUUAACGGAAUAUUCCGUGGAAUAUUCUUGAUGGACAUCAGGCACUGGUCUGCACGUGGGACGCGUCUCGCCAUGCCCUUGAUGGCGCGUGGGGGCGCAUGAGCCGUCCAAAAAAAAUUCUGAAAAUUUGGGGAUGUUUAUGACGUCGACUAGGUCACGAUGGUAUAUUUAAACCCUAUGUUUGAGUAAACUAUGGGCGUUUUAUUUAGGUUUCCUUAUAUGUGCUUUAAUUAAUUUUAUUUUAGUUAUUUCACGUAUAGGGGAAACGUAUCCCGAAGACAUUCGAGGUCAAGCUAGACGGUGGCGAUGGCAAGGUUCACCGAAUAAGGAGACGAAAUAUUCCAUCAGAGUUGACAGAAUAAUCCUGACAGUGUCAGGUAACGCCGUUAACGUCUAUUAGCUUUUAACGGAAAAUUCUUGACGGACAUCAGGCACUGGCCUGCACGUAGGGCGUGUCUGGCCAUGCCCUUGACGGCACGUGGGGGUGCAUGAGCGGUCUAAACAAUUUUCUGAAAAUUUGGGGAUGUUCGUGACGUCGAGUAGGUCACAAUGGUAUAUUUAAACCCUAGGUUUAAGUAAACUAUGGGCGUUUUAUUUAGGUUUCCGUAUAUGUGCUUUAAUUAAUUUUAUUUUAGUUAUUUCACAUUUAGGGGAAACGUAUCUCGAAGACAUUCGAGGUCAAGCUAGGCUCGGGGGUUAUGACCCAGCAACGUACUUGUGAGUGGACAAUUUAUUUUUAUAUCUAUAUGUAUUUAUAAUUUCCAAAAUUUCAUAAAUGCAUCACUUUGCGUAUAUAUAUUGCAAAAUAAUUGAUAUCUGCUAUAUAAUUGUGAUAAGUGUUGCUAUGAGGUUAAGAUAUUACUGUCAUGGCAUUCAUACAUAUUUGUACAUGUUCAUCUUGCUGCACCCGGUGUUAGUACUCACCCUAGGGCCAAGGCCAGUCCUUCACGUGUAUGUUCACAGUGCACCAUUUGCUUGCCUUGGAUCCAAGUUAGGUGUCAGUCUUGUCGGGUAGAUUGCAUUAGGCAAUCCAACUUGUAUGUGAUGUGCUUCUGCACCAGUCUUCACGUGAUCAUAGUACUAGAGCAUAUUGAUUACACCUAGUUCUGUUCGUGUCAAAAUUUAUCUGUUCAAACUCGUGUGUCAGCCUAGAUGGAUGAGCACUUAGUUAUACUUGAUUAUCACAUGAUUAUAUUAUUGUGGCAUUCGAUGCAUCAUGAUUUGGCAUACUUCUGGUUAUAAUACUAUUAUAUUGUUGUUGUUUUAUUGUUAACAUACUUACUUAGUAUGUUUUAAGGAAGCUAUACUUGUUUUACGGCGAGGGGUUAGUAUAUUCGAAAAUAAAGGAUUUUGUAUAAGCAUUGUUUUGCUGACCCACUCAACUUUGUUUUUUCGCCCCUCCAGGACCUAUAUAGAUGUACUCCUUGUGGCACUCAAGGAAUCUUGGCAGUUCUGACAAUAUCUUCUGUUUAGACGUACAAACUUAUCACUGUUGUGUAAUAAGUGUACUUUAGUUAUCUUGACUACUCUUAUGUAGUCUUACUGUCUAUUACGCUCUGACUAAUUGUAGUAGGUUCGUCCCACGAUUGCACACUCUUUCACUGUUUAGUAUUUUUUUUGUUCUAUUUAGUUUUAAAUUUAUUCACUUUUUGCAUCACUUACCCUUAUGGUUAUGUCACCUCACGGUGAUGGCCAGCAUGCUUUGACCUUUCUGGGUCGAGGUGUGUCAUUUUUAGUUUUAGUUUGUACCCAUUUUUAAUUUGUAAUUUUUUUUAAAAAUUCGUACCUAUUUUCUUUUCAAUUUUAAUUUGUACUCAUAUAUUAAUUUCUUUUUGUGCCCAUAUUUUUUAAAUUUUAUUUGUAUUUGUACCCAUAUAUUUUUUUUAUUUGUACUUUUUAUUUUGCUAAAUGUACCCAUGCUAAUUAUAUGUACCCAUUCAUGUAAAACUUUUUAGUCUUAAAAUGUACUCAUUCUUAAUAUACCAAUUUGUUAUAUGUAAAAUGUACCAUUUUUGUUUAUAUAAAAUCUAUUCAAUUUUUUUCUAAUCUAUUUUUAAACUUAUAUGGGUACAUUCUUUUUUCUUGGAUUUUAAAAUGUAUCCAUGUCAAGUUUAAUCGAAGAAAUUUACUAAUGUUAUUAAGCCUCAUAUCUUUUUUUCUUUUUUUUUUUGAUUUUGAAGAAUGUGCCCAUGUUUUGAUACAAUAAUUUUUUUGGUUAAUGUUGAUGAAUGUACCCAUGUUUAUAUAUAUAUACACACACACACUGUCACAACCCGUCUCGAAAUAUUAGUUUCGAUGGUGUGAAAUGUCUAAAUUGCCCUUGGACAUUGAGUUUGUUAUGUGGUGUUGUGGCUAAGUUUGGGUUUAAACUUAAUUGGUUAGUUCCUAAGUUUUUGGAACUUAAAGUUAGUAAUUUUUGGUUGUGAUUAGUGACCCAAAUUGGACCACACACCCACACCUCUCGUUGACCUUUCUCUCUCCUCCCUCUCUUGGAUCUUCUUCCAUUUCCGUACAACCCGUACGAACGAACCUCAAACCAACCCAUUUCUGCAUAGAUCGAGCUCGUGAUUAGUACCAUCACCUUCAUCUCGUCAUCAUGAACUCAACCAUACCAUUUUUAGGACUUGGAAGCUUUAGAAAACCUGUGAAAAACCCUACCCCGAAAUUGGCACUGUUCAUGCACGUUUAAACGAAGAGUUUUUAAAGGAUUUUAAACUCACAGAGAGCUUUAGAAGGUCUUCACGAAGCUCGGGGUAGCUCGCUGGGUAGUUUUGGACGUCGAGAUUGUGAGUUUCAAGUUUGGCCGGUUUCUCUCGAAUUUCUCCGGUGAGGUUCCGUGAUCUUUGGGGCUUCAAACAGGUAAGGAAAUGUUCUACAAGUUAAGAGCUUCAUUUUGGUACUGGUUUCAUGAAAUUUGGAUGAAAAUGGGUGAGAUAUAAAGGUUUAAAGUUUUUCUAGUUUUUCCGGCGACGACGACGGUCCGACGAACCAAGGAAGGAGACGACGGAAUAUUCCAUCAAGUUUGACGGAAUAUUCCAACGGCGUCAGGUUAGUUUUAACGGUAUAUGCUACUUUUUAGCGGAAUAUUCCCUAACGCCGUUAAGGUUACCGUCGGUGUGCCUGGCAUGUGCUCGCGCGUGGAUGGCACGUCUGGCCGUGCCUUGGCCGGCGCCGCGGCGCGUGGGUGGUCGGAAAAUUUUUCUAAAAAUAUGGGGAUGUUCGUGAGGUUGUGUAGAUCACGUUGGUAUAUUCAAACGCCUCAUUUGAGCAAUGUAUGAGGAGUUAUUAGCUAGUAUUGGUCAUGCGCUUUAAAUUAACCUUUUUAUAGUUGUUUCGCAUAUAGGGGAGACUUAUCCCGAGGACGAGCGCAGUCAAGGGCGACUCGGGGGCUACGACCCUUCGACAUACCAGUGAGUAGGCUUUUGGUUUUCAGUAUAUACUUAUAUACUUGAGAGUUUCCCAGAAAAUGCGUUUAAAUGAAAGUAUGCCUUGAAAUGCCAUGCAUAUAAAUUUAUAUUCUGUAUAUGAAUUGGUAUAUGAUGCAUACUAUAUAAUUGUGGUGCUGUGGAUGCUCAGGUAAGCCCAUGUGAGUUAUGAAUUGUGAAUGUGAUUAAAGUUGUGAUUGAGAAACAUUGAGCUCAUAAACCUGCACCUAGGGUGAUUGUGAUUUAGCCAAAGAUAUGACACAAGCCUGUUUAUAAUGUCACCUCCCGCACCAUAUGCUCACAUUGGAUCCAAUUUAGAUGCACAGUCUUGUCGUACAGACCAUCAUAGGUGGUUCCGACUCGUAGGUGACUAGCGAUUUAUCGUCCAACUAUCAUGAGAGUGUAGUAUUGAGUAAUGAGCUAUGAAUUUAGCCGUACAGACUUAUGCAUGGGUUCCAGCUAAUAUAUUAUUUUCCAUGAAUUUAUUCUCACAUGAGUUACUUAUUCUAUUUUAUGUUUUGGCAUGGCAUACUUAUGAAUAUGAUUAUGUGAAGCAUGAUUUGAAUUGAGAUAUUUACAUAUAUACUUAUGCAUAUGUUUAUAUUCUAUUUAUGGGAAAGUUAUACAUGUUUUACGAUAAGGAGUUAGAACUUUUGAGAAAUGAAAUGAAUUUGAAAACAUUUGUUUUUUACCACUCUUGUUUUCUGUUUUGCACCCUUCCAGGUUUUAGGUAAACUUGCGAUUGGUGGCGUACGAGGAUUUCGGCGAUUCUGACAUAAUAAAAUAAUUGUAGAACAUUUUCUGGUACUGUGUAAUUAGUACUUGUCAUACUGGAUUGCACCUAGACUUUCUAUGCUCUGAUUAGGAGUAUUUACACUUGUAUCUCACUCCUAGCACUUCCUGUUUAUUAGUGCACUUUAGUAGUUUUCUGUUUUUAUUUAUUCGUAUAUUUCUUGUCCUUAUUACUUCCGCACUAUGCACAUGGUUACGUUACCCUCACGUGACGGCCAGUAUGCCUUGAUCUUGGUCGGGAUGUGUCACACACACACAAUUGUAUAUUUAUAUUUUAAUAUUUUUAAUCCCACAAAUUAUGGUUUUUUAUUUAAAAUCUCAUUUAUAUAAACAACUAAAAUUUCUAAUUUUUAAUUUAAAAAAAUAUAGUAACGUACAUAGAAAUAAAUUAUCACAUUAAUUUCAGAGACCUCGAUCAAAAAUUAAAAAUCAACAAGAUUUCAAUUAAAAAAUGUUUAUAAUUAAGAACCGCAUCUAAAAUCUCUUUUUUUCCUGCAAAAUAAUAUACUUACACUAAAAGGACGGGGUAAAAUAAUCGGGUAAAACGAAACUCAUGGCCCAACACUUGCAAAUGGUGAGGGCUUUUCGUUAUGGGAUGCAUAUCCGGUGGAAAUGGAAUAUCCGAGUUUAAGACAAACUACGUUAAUCUUUAUGUCGAUGUGGUGGGACAUGUGAAAAAUACAGCUUUUUCUUAUUUUCCAAAAGUCACAUGAAGACAAAAGAUCGUGAAAACAUGGAACUUGAAUUAGAUCCUGAUCAUUUAUGUGGUAAAGAUGAAAGCAUAGAUGUAUUUCGAUUCAGUUACAGAGGCGAACAUGGAUGCAAUUACUUUUAUCAUUUCACUGUACAAUUGCAUAUACUUUCAAACAAAUAAAUGUAUACUGAUAUACGCCCACAAACAAAGUACGUGUGAAAUGUUUUAUUUUUGUUUUUAAAAUUGAAUGAGUGAGGAAGAGAGUGAGAGAGAACGUAGAGUGAGGAGAGAAGGAGAGAGGGCUUUUUUUAAAAAAAAAUUAGAAAUGUUAAAGUCACAUGUAGUACACAAAAAAUAGUAAAAUUUUAUUUUGUGAAAUUAUAUUACUACCUUUAAUUUUUUUGUUAUGAUAGAAGAAUAAAUAGUCAUUUUCACUAUUUUUUAGUUAACAAAGAAAGUUAUAUUAAUAUGUAGUUUAGAAGUUUUUUCACCAUCAUUUAAUUGACAAAAACAAUCAUACUAAUAUGUAGCUUAUUAGAUAACUAACUAUUUGACUCUUACCAAUUUUUUUUAAGGAAAACUAAUGAAAAUGGCUUGAAAACUUUAAGUUUUAACAAUAGGGACAAAAUAAAGGGUAAAGUGAAUAGUACCAGGAUUGACUUUUUAGUGUAAAAAUGUGGUUUUUUGUUAAAGUGAACAGUACUAUGAGUUUUUCGUUAAAGUUCCAUUUUUUUAGCCAAUUUGAAAAAUAAACACUCGAAUAAUGAACUGACACAGGCGAUGUUAAUUGGAAGAGGAUUCUCUCCGGAUCCACUUUGUAGGGAUUCUAGAUAUUUUCACAUCCUAACGGUUUAUCAUAUAUCGUGCGGCUGGUUUUCGUCAGAUACUAUUUGUGUUUAAUUUUAAAUAAAAAACAGUGAAAUAAUUUUUUAUCGUACGAUACCCAAUAAAUAAUUAAGAUAUGAUAAUUCUUAAGAUCUUCACAAUUUGAAUCCGGUGAGAUCCAAUUCCAUAUUAAUUAUCUCCUCAAAUUCCCCUAGUUUUCAAGCAAUCUAAAAUAAGGGUAAAUUACACAGUAACCCCUUAGGUUUUGAAGUCUAUUACAACCUCAUACAAUAACUUUAAAACAUUUCACUUUCAUACUUCAAGUACUAUUUUAUUUCAAUAUAAUACAUCCGUUAGAUUUUCCAUCCAUUAAUCCGUUAAAUACUGACGUGGCUGCCACAUUUGUGCCACGUGGCAAAAAAAAUAAUUUUUUAAUUUUUUUUAUAACCUAAAUUUUUCUCAAAAAAAAAUAAAAUAAAAUGAAACCCACAUCUGCAAGAAGAAGAAGAGGGAGGAAGAAAGAAAAAAAAAAUUGAAACGAAACCCACAUCUAAGACGAGAAGAAGAAGAAGGAGAAAAAGAAGAAAAGGGAGGAGGGUCGCCGGGCCGGAGGGGGACCGGAGGUGUGUUGCUGGGGGGGGGGGGGAUAGGAGAAGGGUCGCUGGGUGGGGGUGACAAAUUUUAUUUUAUUUUUUUUUUUUCUUCCUCCCUCUUCUUGUUCGUCUGUGUCGCUGGGCUUGGGGGAAGGGGGUUUAGGGACAAAUUUUUUUUUUCUUUUCUUCCUUUUCUUCCUCCCUCUUCUUCUUCUUCUUGAUAGCUGGGUGAGGGUGGUAGCUGGGUUGUGGGGGGGGGGGAGGGACAAAUUUUUUUUUUUUUCUUUUCUUCCUCCCUCUUCUUCUUCUGGGUCGCGAGGGGGGGACAAUUUUUUUUUCUUUUUCUUUCUUCCUCCCUAUUCUUCUUCUUCUUGCAGAUGUGGGUUUUUUUUUUUUUUUUUUUUUUUUUGAGAAAAUUCAGGUUUUAAAAAAAAAUAUUUUAUUUGCCAAGUGGCAGACAUUUGGCAGCCACGUGGCAUAUAUGUGGCAACCACGUCAGCAUUUAACAGAUCAAUGGAUGGAAAAUGUAACAGAUGUAUUAUUUUGAAAUAAAAUAGUACUUAAGGUAUGAAAGUGAAAUGUUUUAAAAAUGUUGUAAAGAAUUGAAAUUGACUCCAAACCUGAGGUAUGAAAGUAUAAUUUACCCCUAAAAUAUUGACAAAGUCUGUAAAAUUUGACUAGUUUUAGAAAGGUCCCAUCAAGACUGCCGGCUGGAUUAUAUUCAUGCCUAACCUGCAAAAUUGUUUACAGGAGCUUAUCUAUAAAAAGUGAUAUUCUUCUCAAAUAUUAGUAUUUUUUUAAAAUAAAGAUGGGACGUUAGACCAUCUUCAAUCCUUGGGCUAAAAGUUAAAUUUUUUAGCCCGGAAAAUUUGGCUUUUAACCCAGAAACAUAUUUUCUGCUCUAACCCUUCUGCCCUAAAAUUUUAGCCCGGAAUUAUUAAAGAAUGAACUUAGGCUAAUUUUUUUUCUUAAACCAAUUUUUUUUAAAAAUAAAUAAAUAUGUAGAUUAUUUUAAAUUAAUUUUAUGAACAUUUUAAUCUAAAAAAAUUUAAAUUCCGAUAAACAUUUGGCAUUUAGCCCGGGAGGAAAGCUGAGGGGUAUUUGGCCCAGAAAUAACAUUUGGCAUUUAGCCUAAAAUUUUAACAUGGGUUGGAGAGUGUUUGGGGGGAGGUAAUUUGGCUUUUAGCCCAGGUUUGGAAAUGGUCUUAGUGGUCCAUAUUUUUAUUAAAAUAUAUAAUAAGUAUAUCAUUACUCGAUCUAUAUUGUUAAGCCAAUUCAAGUUUAUUGUACCAAUAAAAUUAUAGAAUUUUAACAUAACACUUCUGAAACUGUUUAUUUUUAAUGAAAAAUCACAUUUUUAUCUUUUUCUUGUACUAUUCACUACACUUUUAUUUGUCAUUUUUUCUUAAAGCUAAAGUUUUUUUGAACAUUUCAUUAGUUUUCCUAUAAAACUAUUUAGUCAACUAUAAUUAGUUGAUAGAGCAACAAAAAAAUUACUAAUUGGUUCUACGAAAUACAAAAAUUAAUAAUUGGUUGUACAAAUCAUGGAAGAAAAUAUCGAUAAUAUCGGCGAUAUAUCGCCGAUAUUAUCGGUUUUUCCCCAAAUCGAUAUUUUAAGUGGUAUCCAAGGGGUUUUCGUCAAAAUAUCGCGAUAUUUUGGAAAUAUCGCGAUAUUUUUUUAACGGUGCAAUCGGAGAAGAACGCCGGAGAUGGUGUGCCUAUUCCCAAGCCGAUUUCGUCCCAAAAACCUUGCAAAAACACGAUUUUGAACUUCAAUUUCACAUAUAAGGUUCAAAUUUCACGUAUGCAAGAGGUAAUCAACAUAGGGUUUAGUCGGAUCUCACCUGAAAACUUGGGUGUGCCUGGGUGUGGGUGCGAUCGGGGAAGCCGAGCUUCCUCUGCGCGUCGCCGUGCUUCCCAGAGACGGAGGAGAGGGAGGGAGAGUUCAGGAGGGUGGUGGAGAUGCUGCGCUGGCAUCGGGGUGGACGAUUUGGUGUGCCUGGGUGUGGGUGCGAUCGGGGAAGCCGAGCUUCCUCUGCGCGUCGCCGUGCUUCCCAAAGACGGAAGAGAAGGAGGGAGAGAACGAGAGUUUGAGAGAGAGAUAGAGUUGAGAACUCUGAGAGAGUGAGGGGUCCGAGAGGGACUCGGGAAAAGAGAGACAGAUAGGGUGAGGGUUAGUGGGCUGCCACGUGGCAGCGUGACAGAGAGUGAGAAUCAAGAUGGAGGGUCCAGAUUAGAUUAGGAUAAAGGACUCAAUUGCACAAUUUAUAUAAUUUCAUAAAAAGAGUGAAAAUAUAAAUUAAUCUGGGGGUCUAGAUUAGAUUAGGAUAAAUGACUCAAUUUCAGAGAAAAAGUGAAAAUAUAUAAUUUUAGGGAAAUAGUAGAAGUUGUAUUUAUUGGUUAGGCAUAUGGAAAUGCAAAAAAUUGUUUUUCUAAUGAUUCUAAUCAAUUUCAAGAAAAAUAAUGAAUUUAUAAGGGUAAGAUGAGUCUAUAAAAGUGAUAUACAUGAGUCUAUAAGAGUGUCGGUCAGUUUUAGACAAUUUAGAUUUUUUUAAUCAUUUUUGCCAAUUGGCUUGUUAUCGCCUUGUUUAGAUUUUGCAUCACCAUGUUUUAUAUUAGGAUUAUUUUUUUAUCAAAUUGGAUUAUUAUUCAUUAAAUUGGAUUAUUAUCAAAUUGAAUUAUUAUUCAUUAAAUUGGAUUAUUAUCAAAUUGGAUUAUUAUUCAUCACCAUGUUUUAUAUUAGGAUUAUUUUUUUAUGAAAUUGGAUUAAUUUCAUUAUUAUUCAUUUAUUCAUUAAAUUGGAUUAUUCAUUAAAAUGGAUAACUACUCUUCACAAUACACUCACUCUACACAUAGAGAUGAUGAAGAUAGUGAAAAUUUUGAACCUCAUAGGAACUCUAUGUGGUACUAAGGCACUUAUAUAUCUUACCAUGCAAUGUAUAAAGUGUAAAAUAUUGUACUAAUUCAUUAUAUAUAAAUGAUUAUGGUGUGUUUAGACUUCUUUCAUUAAUUACUACAUAUUUUCUACACUCACAAUGUUUGUCAGCUCGCUAUAUAAUCAACUUGAUAAUGUUAAAUCCAUCAUGCAAUGCAUUUCUUUCCAAUUUUUGUGAUAAACUAAUAGAUAAUUGACUAAAUAAACAUCCUACAAAGUUUCAAUAAAAAUUUUCAAGUUUUUCUUACAAUUUCCGUGGUUUCUAUGUAAUUUUUAUCGAUAUCGAUAUUUUACCGAUAUUUCCAUCGAUAUUUCCGUGUUUUCGGACUACCUAUAUUUCCGAUAUGACCGAAAUUUUCUUCCUUGGUACAAAUAUAUUGAAUUCGUGAUUAUAUAUAGGUGGUAGAAAUUUUAAUAAAACAAAAAUAAUAAUUGAUUGAUUUUAUUAUUUGAAAGAAGCGAAAGCAUUAUCAUGCAUGUUAUAAGCACGUUGAAUCCUGUUUGUAUGACGACCUUCCUUCAGCUUUCGGCAGAAUUAUUGCCCAAAUUUUUUUAUUGAUUUUUUUUUUCUGGUAAGGCAAAGUUAAUUGGUCACAUGCAUGAGAUAAAAUUUUGAAUCUACAUGGUCAGCUGUAAUUGUGAGACACGUUGUUGCUGUCCAUAUGUGGUAUUUGGUAAUGCAAACUACUCCAUUAAUCCAACUAAUUACUUCACGCAUGAAUGAAGCGAUUGAAUUUUGGUUUCUCUGCAUUAUUAUAUCAAUCUCAUUUUUCUCUAAAGUAGCCUAUAACUUUGGAUUAAUUUGUUUUUUGUUAACAGUGGGGCUGCCAACAAAGAGAAACUAUAAUAAAAUAUCACUUCGUCUAAAGAUCCCUACAUCGUUUACCAUUGAGAGAUGUUGACAAGAGAUAAAUCGUUUGAUCGAAAUAAAUUGAACUAGGUAAACACGAUAAACUCAAGUUAACUAGUUUAUCAGUCACAAAAUUUAUCUCACGAACUUUGAAUUUUUUUUCUCUUUGUACAAAUCCAUCCCAAGUAUAACUAAUAAGAUGUACCAUUAGUUAUUCAACAUUUGUGACGACUAUUUGAUUCCAAGUAAAUUAAUAAGGAGUUUACUUCUAUUCUCAAACGCAAGAUAAUAAAUUUACUCCAUAAUAAGAAAUUGUUCAGAAAGCAACUGGAAAUUGUUCAGAAAGCAACUGGAAAUUGAUAGGCAAUGUUGACUGCCAGUUGCCAUUUUUGAAAUAAAAAGAAGUCUUCAGCACCCCUCGCUCAUCCUCUCCCAAAUUAAACAAGAGAAAAAAAAAUUACCACGAUGAUAAUUAGUCAAACCAAACUAAAAACGUUUGGGUAAAUUGUCACAAUGGUUUCUGAGAUUUGCAUAACUCAUCACUUUGGUCCCUAAGAUUCCAAAUCGAUAAAAGUGGUCCCUGAGAUUGUCCAACAUCUAUUAUUUUGGUAAUUCCGUUAAAAACUCCGUUAAGUAUCCCAGAGCUCUUGGCCGAAAGUUUGGGCAAUUUUUAAAGCUUCGUAACUCAAUCGUUUCUUAAUCAAAUUCGACCCAUAAUGUAUCAAAAUGAAGAUAGGAAAGUGUAGAAUAAGAUUAUACCUAUUUCAAAGCCCAAUGGUUGCCAGAGAUGGCUGGAAAAUAGCCUCAAAGUUGACUAGUCCGAGUGAAAACUUGAAAACUCGCCGGAAACUGGAUAAACUUUAAACGUUUAUAAUUUCUUCAAUACUCAAUGAAAUCAAGUGAUUCAAAAACAAAAAUCAUACUUCUCAACGCGAUGAAGAGAAUGAUAUGUUUUUCGACGGCUAAAUCACGGUGGUUUGGCCGAAAAACGGCUUGAAAGUGGCUAACUCGAGACCAAGACAGCCACUUUCAAGCCUUUUUCCUGCCAAACCAUGGUGAUUUAGCUGUAUACCAUUCUUUUUGUCUCGUCGAGAAGUAUGAUUUUUGUUUUUGAAUAACUUGAUUUCGUUAAGUAUUGAAGAAGUUAUAAACGUUUAAAGUUUAUCCAAUUCCUGGCGAGUUUUCAAGGUUUUACUUGGACCAGUCAACUUUGAGGCUAUUUUUCGGCUAUCUUCGGCAACCAUUGGGCUUUGAAAUAGUAUAAUCUUAUUCUACACUUUCCUAUCUUCAUUUUGAUAUAUUAUGGGUCGAAUUUGGUUAAGAAACGAUUGAGUUACGAAGCUUUGAAAAUUACCCAAACUUCCGGCCAAGAGCUCGAGAACACUUAAACGGAGUUUUUAAAAGAAUGACCAAAAUGAUGGAUAGUGGACAAUCUCAAGGACCACUUUUAUCGAUUUGAAAUUUCAGUGACCAAAAUAAUGAGUUAUUCAAAUUUCAAAAACCAUUUUGACGAUUUAUCCAAAACGUUUUAACAUUUAUAAAUUAUAAUUGUUGGUCAAUUUUGUCACAACAUGUGAAUGUGUGUACUUUUUUUAUCCUUUGGUUGCUUUUUUCCCUUGAACUGUAUCUGAUGAUUUUUAAGGCUCCAAACAUGAUAUUUUCAAAAAGCAUCAUCUCCAUCUUACAUUCCUACUUUUUGCCAUCUAAUUAAAACUGCCGACUGUUUAUAAUUUUUUUUUGAGAACUUUAACGAAAAGCAUUCGGUACUGUUCAUUUUAACGAAAAAACACAUUUUUACACUAAAAAGUCAAUCCUGGUACUAUUCACUUUACCAUUUAUUUUAUCAUCAUCAUUAAAAUUCAAAAUUUACAUUUUUACACUAAAAAGUCAAUCCUGGUACUAUUCACUUUACCCUUUAUUUUAUCAUCAUCAUUAAAAUUCAAAAUUUUCAAACUUUUUUUAUUAGUUUUUUUUUUUUUUUUUUUUGGAAACUCCGACUGUUAUUAGAAUCUGCAAAAGCAGCCUAGAAACUAUAUAUGCACGCACAGCCAGAAGUGGGGCCGAUCGGGAAUAAUUGAAGCUAAUAAUCUAAGGAUAUAUAAUGAAAAAGUUUUGAAAACUUUGAGUUUUAAUGAUAAGAACAAAAUAAAGGGUAAAAUGAAUAGUAUCAGGAUUAAUUUUUUAGUGUAAAAAUAUAAUUUUUCGUUAGAAUAAAGAGUAUCGUGUACUUUUCGUUAAAAUUCCCAAUAAUCUAACCAUGCAUCUAGAAGCCUUAAGUUUCUUGUCUACACUCUCACCGUCUUAUCCAAAAUGGAAAAACCAGUUGGAUUUUUUUAUUAAUCAAUUCAAAGGUGCUUUAUUUGACCAAGUCAAAUUUCUAUUAAAUAUUGUCACUUGGAGUACUUAUCCAACGCACCAGUGACACAAAUUUGUAAUGGAAUGUGAUAUUCAUUUAUCAUAUUUGAUUUUUUACAUAUUUUUUUAAUUUUUAAUUAUCGGAUCGAAUAAAUUGAAGAAAAUCAAUUGAUAAAAAUUAAUCAAAAAUAUGUAUGAAGUAAAAUGAGAUACGUGGAUAACACUCCCCAUUUGUAAUAAACAUUUUAAAUUCCUUGUAAAUUUGGAGACAUCGGAUGAUCAAAUGACAAUAUGCCCCACUGUAAUCCUAUAAAUACCACCUCCCAGUACUCAUCUCCAACACAAUACUCUCAACCUUCAAUAAAACCAUCAUCCUUCCUUUGCUCAUUUUCCAACCUUUUUUUUAAUCAUCAUGGGUGUCUGCACAUUUGAGAACGAGUUCACCUCUGAGAUUCCACCAUCAAGAUUGUUCAAGGCCUUUGUCCUUGAUGCUGACAACCUCAUCCCCAAGAUUGCACCCCAGGCAAUCAAGCAAGCUGAAAUCCUUGAAGGAAACGGUGGCCCCGGAACCAUCAAGAAGAUCACUUUUGGUGAAGGUCAGUUAAUUAGCACGGUUAAUGAUUUCGAUGGUUUCGUUUAACAAAUUUUAUUAACCCGUAUACAUGUUGAUGUUGUUAGACUUGCAGUAUUUGUGGAUUUCUAGAUGAUUAUAUGUGAUCAGUAUCCAGAGUCUAAUAAUAUUAUAUGUUUUAUUUGUCUCGCAGGCAGCCAGUACGGCUACGUGAAGCACAGGAUUGACUCGAUUGACGAAGCAAGCUACUCAUACUCCUACACUUUGAUUGAAGGAGAUGCUUUGACAGACACCAUCGAGAAAAUAUCUUACGAGACCAAGUUGGUGGCAUGUGGAAGUGGUUCCACCAUCAAGAGCAUCAGUCAUUAUCACACCAAGGGAAACAUUGAAAUCAAGGAAGAGCACGUCAAGGCUGGAAAAGAGAAGGCCCAUGGUUUGUUCAAGCUUAUUGAGAGCUACCUUAAGGACCACCCCGACGCAUACAACUAAAUUAAUCAUAAGUAUCUAUGGUGUUUUGGGUGUUACCGUUACUAUAUGGUCAGUCGAAGGUUGUGUGGCUUUUCUUUGUAUGUUUUUUUCACGUCAGCCAAAAGUAAUAACCAUGGUUUGGGCAGUUUGGGCUUGAAAAAUAAGUGUUAUGGUUGUGAUGAUCUUCUUGUUGCGAUGUCUUUGUUUGGAAAAAAGUUGGCAGACUGAACGGAGUGUAUUAUCUUCU